GCGCGGCAGGUGUGUUUCGCCAAAAGGUGUAAACCCUAGGGCGCCCCCACCCCUCUAUUUAUAGAGGUUCCUGACGGGCCUCUGGAUCCGAGGCCCAUUAGUACUUCUAAACCUAAUCCAACUCGGAUCUGAUCCGAAUUGGGCUUCCAGCCCCUUAAGUGUGUGACCCUAUGGGUUCGGAUACGUAUAGACAUGGCUCGAGUACUCCUACUCGGCCCAAUAGUCGGUAGCGGCCUCUAGCAAGACGUGCCAACUCCUAUACGCACACGAAGAUCAUAUCAGACGAACCAUCACAACAUAAUAUACAUGCUAUUCCCUUUGCCUCACGAUAUUUGGUCUAGCUUCAAGCCGACCGCUCUUUCUCGAUCCUGUGAUUCGGAAUCCCUUUGUAGGUUAACUCUUAACCGUACGUAGCAUGGCCAUGCAUUUUCGGAUCCGAUUACUCGAGGGGCCCAGAGAUAUCACUCUCAAUCAGAGAGGGGCAAAUCCCAUCUUGAUUGACCAUGUUUCAUAGCAUGCUUCUUGACAAACCCGAAAGCUACCUUUAUAACUACCCUAUUACGGCGUAGCGUUUGAUAGCCCCUAAGUAGGUCGAUCCACAUCUAGAAUACAUGCGACAAUCUCAGGUCUAAGGACAAAGCGUAUAUGUUGUUUAAAGAGAGAACUACUUCUCGUGUUGGGUCAGUCCUAGCACAUGUCUCCACAUGUGUCCACAUUAUUAGUUCAACAUCUCCAUGUCCAUGACUUGUGAAACAUAGUCAUCAACUAAUACAUGUGCUAGUCUAAUAUUCAUGUGUGUCCUCACAUGAACUCCGACUAGGAACAACUUUAGAAUAAUCAUACAAGUAAAGAGUUUCACAUACAAUUCACAUAAUUGCAAAUCAAUUCAAGUAGCCUUUAAUGGAUAUUCAAUGAACACAAUAUACAAAUCAUGGAUACAAAUAGAAUAUCAUCAUCUCUAUGAUUGCCUCUAGGGCAUACCUCCAACAGUAUCCAUAAUCUUAAUCCACUCCGUUGACUCAAACACUUGGAAAUACGAGUCUUCAAUGCCCCUAGAGUAGUUAGAUGAUCUAGCUUACUCUACAACUUGAAGACAAUGUGCCAGACUCUCCUCUUGGUCAUUCUGCAGACCAUUGGUACCAGACCAGUUAUAAGACUCAUUCGACUCCGGGACAAACUCCACCAGAUCACCAAUAGUUAAAACCUGAGCACAAAGCCCAGACAAAAAUUAUUACAACACUCAACGAAAUGGUUCGUUCAUAUAUGACAAUAAAACAUUUAUUGUUCAAACCGAAUACAACAAUCAAUGGCAAUGAAAUAAUUGUUUAACAUUCUACCUCUUUGUCAUUGGGGUUCGAAGAAGGUGCCGACGUAGUAGGAUUGGUUGACAGAGCAGUGUCAUCAGGAGCUAGAGAUACAUGAUUAUUUGGAGGAGGAGGAGCACUAGUAGGAGUUGCAGCAGAGCCUUCCGAUGUGCGAUAUGCUUGGCUAGAAGGAAAUGGCUCCACAAAAAGUUCAACCAUAUCCUCGUUUGAAGGGAAUGAUCCACCAAGCAAACUACGGUGAGGUGGUUCACGAUCCCCGUAGACAAUGUGGUGUAGGGACACAUUACACAAAUUGACUCCAAGACUAUCAGCAAUUUGGUGUCCCCAAAUUCUAUGUGGAGCUCCCUAAAACAUGACCUGAAUGUACUCUUUGCUCUCAGGGAUGUACACAAUAGCUUAGAAAACUUGGACCCAAUCCUCAAUAUACUGAUAAUUCCCUGAGACCAAAUCAGCCAAUCUGGGUAGUUGAUCAAAGUAUCCCUUAAUAUCCUCUCCUCCUGCGGCCAUGUUCAUAUGAUUCCAUUUUAUAAUCUUGUGCUCAAAUAGUUUGGUGGAUAGCUUUUUGUAGUUAUAGUAGAAAGUUUCUUGAAUGACAUUCCUAAAUUUUGGUUCGCCCCGUCUAUCAUGGGAUUUUUCAAAUCACACAUCCUUAGACACAAAUCGAAGCCUAUUAAUCAUUUGGUAGCUAUGCAUGCUCAAGUCAAUUAUCCUUAGCGGUUCUUCUGGUGGAGGUAAAGAGGUACCUCAUUUUGCUCCCUAGGGUCGGGCGCAGGAAACUCAGCAGAGCGGGGCGGCUGACGCCGCGUAGAUUGUUGUCACCUGGAAGGUGCCAAGGUUGACCCACCCCAUGUUCGGCAGGAUUGCGCUGAGGUUGACCCACCCUGUGUAUGGUGGGAACAGGCAGGAGAAGACUCUCGUGUAAUGGACCUGCCCCUUUGCCACAUCUAAGCACUAGACGUGCCUGCAGAUUCACCUGCGACUUCCUUUGUCGCUUCGAUGGAGGUGGGUCAAGCGCCUUUCCAUUUCUCUUGCCAUCAUCUCGGCCCAUCUACAAGAUCUUUCUCUAAUCAGCUACCGCAAUGAUCACAAAAAAUUUAAUGAAUCCCCCUUUCAACAAUGAAUACCUAUGAAAUCGGAGCGAGCAGCGGCAGAUCGCAGUAGAGGCGGAGCGCAGCCCUAGCGGUGCGGCUGCAGCAGGUGGUCGUGGGGGCAGCUGCGGCAGCGGUUAAACCCUACCAAGGGCGAGCGCCGCAAGUGACCUUGAGUAAAUGGGGAACGGCGGGUCAGCAAGAGUAACAUGAUGUUGGAUAAAGUCAUAAAGGUAUAGUGCGCACCCAGAGAAGAAAAUGGGUAGGAGUUUCCUACCCAACCUUGUUUUAGCAUAAGGAUGUUUUGGUGUUUGAGAAUACACCGAACCGGAUAAACAACCAGCCAAAUAGGCGUUCUAAGAUUUUGGAAGUCAUCACAGGAUGUUCCGGUGUUUGACAAUACACCGCACCGAAUAAACAUCCAGCCAAAUGGGCAACGGAAGAUUUUGAAGACAUCACAGGAUGUUUCGGUGUUUUAUAAUACACCAAACUGGAUAAAUAGCCAGCCAAAUGGGUGUUCAAAGAUUAUGGAAGGCGUUACAUGAUGUUCCAGUGUUUUACAAUACAAUGAGCCAUAUCAAUAACUAGCUAAGUGCGCUUUCAAACAUAUUGAGAUGCAUCAAAAGGAUUUUCCCACAACUACUAUGAUAAAAGGUCUACAUGCACAUAUCGGUUCAUAUGUUAUACAACAAAUGAGUUCAGAUCGGAUCGACUAAAAUAUUAAUUGAUUUCACAUCCUAGCCCUCGUUACUAUCAAGUGUAGGAUUUUCAUCUGCAUCAUGGUAUUUUUAGUUAGUCUCGUCCUCCUCUCAUCGUUAGAAUUGAAUCCGUUCACAUCAGGUAGAACCUGCUGGCGAAUGGAAGUAACUUGAGCUACUGGAAUGAUAGUCUCGUCCUCCUCCUUGUCAGUAAUAGACACCGGAGCCUCCAAACCAUCACCAAUACCAUCAUUUAAGGUUUCUUCAAUUACAUCAUCUUGAUAUGCAAGGACCAUGCCACUGGGCAUUGUUUCCUGCUCAGUUUCAUUAAAUCUCCACAAAUUCCUGUGCUCAAAUUUUUGCACCACUCUCUGUGGGUCUUGUAGCAGGGUGUCUGGCAAGUAAAAGACCUUUGUUGCUCAUUCAGCAAAAAUGUAGGAAUCACUUUUGUACCAGUACCUUCCAGUAUUGAUGCUUGUGAAGUACCCAUCCUUUCUAAUCCUCGGUUCCUUCUUGGUCCCUCCUAGAUCAUACCAAUCAUAGUGGAAUAAUACAAUAGUUUGAUUUAUGGCAUGCCCUGAUGAGUUAUACCGCAGCUCAAUAAUUUCCUUUAUACAACCAUAAAACUCAAAUGGCUCACUAUUAUGAAAACCUGCAGCCAUAAUCCCACUAUUUUGUGUCUUCCAAUUUUUCUCUCGGGCAUGUGUGUGGACACCGCCAACAAGACAUGCUGAAUAUUUUCUUCCUCGUUUGUCUGGUAAAGCUGAUAAUGCACAUAGGUCCUCGGAGACCUCUCCUUCCGGCAUCUUUUCAAUCUGUACAACAAAACCUUAUUUUUUUAUAUAUAUUUUUAUAUAUAGGUCCUCGCCAGCUAAUAUAAGUUUGUUCCCAAAAAGCAGAAAACUUACAUGUGGUUUAAACCAUCGGGCAAAUUCUUUCUAAAUUCUAUGAUCAAUAACCUAGUAUGACACACCUUUCGCUUCUAUUUGAUCCUCUUAUAUCCUGCAAAAACACAUCCAUCUGAAAAUUAGACGAGAAUAACUGCAGUAUAAUCAUUGCAUGAUGGAUUACGUACCUGAUAUAUGGCUCAACCUCUUCGCAAUUGCGUAGCACAUACCAAACCAGCUUGUCAUAAUCCGAAUCAAGGUAAAAUCUUCGCAAUGGCUCCACCAGCUAGUCUUCGCUGCUCCAUGUACAUCAACAUUGUGCUGGAAACAAGAUAAAUUGCCUUCUCGUAACAAAUCAACAUUCUCUCUGUUCCUGCCCUCCUGAUUAUUGGGAUAUCUAUUUUCAGUUUGUUCAAAACAUCAAACUUCAGAGUUUUGCAACAUAGUUGCCGAAAGAAGUUUCCUAAUUUCGAAACAGCUGAGUGUAUCUCUUUAUCCAUUAAACCUCAAAGGGAAGCAGGCAAAUCCUUUGGAGUAGGAUAUGAAAAUCAUGAGUUUUCAGUAUUUGGAGUAGGAUAUGAAAAUCAUGAGUUUAUCCAUCAGCGGUAAUACAUCUUGAUAAGUUAGAAGCAUAUCCAUCUCAAAACUUCACCAGACUUAUAAAAUCACAGAAGACCUUCUAUUUCUUUUUACCCAUUAUAUAUGGAGUUUUGGCAUUUUGAAUGACUCCCCUUCCAUAGUAUUCAACAUGUGUAGAUGUGGUCUAAUGCCCAUCUCUUCCAAAUCAACCCUAGCAUUGAUCGUGUCCUUUGUCUUCCCAGCAAUUUUAAGCAAUGUUCAUACGGUUUUCGCAUAUAUUUUUCUCAAUGUGCAUGACAUCAAGAUUAUGUGGCAGCUUCAGAGUUGUUCAAUACGGCAAGUCAAACAAACUAACCCUUGGGCUUCAACACUCUCUAGGUUCCCGCUUCCUUUUCUGACCUUGAGGAGGCUUUCCUGGUUUAACAUCUUUAACCUUCUCCAGUUGCUGCUGAAGCUCCUUAGUAGUAAAUUGCUCUGGCCUCUCUCGGUUUUCAGUAUUACCAUCAAAAUUUGCUUUCAUUCUUCUCCAUGGAUGGUCAGUUGGAAGGAAACGAUGAUGGCCAACAUAACAUAUCUUGUUCUUCAAUCUCCUUGAGCAACAAUCCUUGUCACAACGCACACAGGCAUAAUAACCUUUCGUGACUCACCCGCCAAUGUGCUUAGUGGUGGAUAAUCAUGUAUGCACCAAAUAACUGCAGCAUGCAGUUUAAAGGAUUGUUGACUACAAGCAUAGUAUGCAUCGACACCCUUCCACAGGUCCAAUAGCUCAUCUACGAGAACUCGGUCUAGAGAUCAAUAAUGCCAUCAUGAAGGUUGAUUCUUCCAUGGAUACCCAUGGUGGCAUGUUAUACGGUACAACAAAUAUUGGCCACAUACUAGAUGAGUUGGUCUUGUUGCCAAAUGGAUUCAAACCAUCGGUUGCAAGGCCAAGUCUAAUGUUCCUAGCAUCUUUUGCGAAUUUCAGCCAAUUUUUACUGAAGUUUUUCAUGCCUCACCAUCAGCUGGAUGACUAAGCUUACUGUCCACCAGUUGUCACUUCAACUCGUGCCAUUAUGCAUACUUUGCGGUUUUUGAUGAAAGAAACAUCCUCUUCAGCCUUGAAACCAGUAGAAAAUGCCUCAAGACCUUAUAAGGAACACACAUCUUUCCAUUUUGAAUAUGCUUCACAACACACUUGGCACACAUCAUGUUCCGCUAGAUCCUUACGACACAAUACACAAUUAUUCUUGCAAACAUGGAUAGAUUCAUAGCCGAGUCGCAUGGCAUGUAUGUACUUCAUUGCAUCAUCAUAACAUGUCGGAACACAUGCUCCUAGGAAAGCAAGGGAUACCACCUUCAGAAUUGUGUUGAAUGCAACAUUGCUGAUCCGAUAGAAAGACUUGAUAAGAAAUAACUUCACAACAAAUGUAAAUUGUGUAUAUUUAGAUCCUGGUGACACCUUACGAUUUAUAUGUUGUUUUAUACAUUCUAACAUUUUCCCUCCAAGCUCUUUAGCAUGGCACAUGUCGGAUAUCAUUUCAGGAAGUCCAUUUUUGGUGCCUUCAUCCUCCUCCAUACCCGAUAUGUGUUCAUUUUCUUGAACCAUUUCUUGAUCACCAUCAUCCUACAGAACUGCAUUAUCCACAAGCCUCUCAUCCAGCAAAAUUGCAGUUUCCUCAAUCCCAUCAUCCUGCAGAAUUGCAUUUUCUUGAACCCCAUUAUCCUGCAAAUUUGCAUUUGCGUGUACCCAAUCCUCGAGUAUUUCUCCAUGAUGGAUCCACCUAGUGUAGGUGCUUGCCAUCCCAUUCAAAAGUAAGUGCAGACUCACCACAUCUAUAGUACAUCUAGACUGAUUCAGGAAUCGACGACACGGGCAUAGUAUUUGUUCAUCAUCAGAGUAUCUACUCUUAACAAAUUCCACGAAAUCAUUGACCCCUUUCUCAUGCUUGGGGGUAAAUAGUCGACAACAGUGUAUCCAACAUAUAUCCAUCUGGGAAAUUUUGGCGAAUUCAACUCAAAAUUACUGACUAGAUUGAAGGACCUUAAUGGAAAAUGAAAUUUUGGCAAAAUCAACUCAAAAUUACUGACCAGAUUGAUGCGCCGCAACAGGAAGCACCAGAUUUUUGGUGCUGUAGGAUUGAGCCGCCGCAGGACGCGCAGAUCUCCACAAGAGUGCUCUGUCCUGGCUGCCUUCUCUCUGUUCUUCUUUUUUCCCAAUCACGGGAGCAUGGCAGUGGAUAAACUAUUUUUUGGUUGCAGCGCGAGCUUUUGUGCCGCCAAAUACCACACUCACCCGAAACUUACCUUACAUGUGGGACCCAAUCGCGGUAAAGACUUCCCAUUCGAUCGGUAGUAGGUUCGACCCACGGGAGGAGCACGUUUUCCAUUUUAAUUUACCACCCUAUUUAUCAUCUUAAACUUACAUAUGGGAUCCUGGUUGGUUUAUGACAUUUUCACGGAGCUUAUAUCAUCACAAAACCACCAUGUAACAACAAGUGACGAGUUCUUUUUAGCUACAGUGGCAACUUUUAUUACGUUCUGUAACUUUAUCACUAAAUUUGCUCGGAUAUGAAACUUUAUGACGUUUUCAACCAAAAAUGUCACAGAUCUAUGAUGAAAACAAAUGUGUUAAAAAAAUUUCAUCAUAGAUCAACACAUUUCUUGUAGUGUUCCAAGAAUAUAAUGCCUCCAAAUCUUCAGAGCGUGUACCACUACUACUAAAUCUAGAUCAUGAAUCAGAUAAUUCUGCUCAUGCUUCCUCAACUGUCGAGAGGCAUAUGCUAUAACAUGUCCCUCCUACAUAAGAACACAGCCUAAGCCUUGUCGAGAUGCAUCACAAUAGAUAUCAAAGCUCUUCUGCAUGUAUGGCAUGACUAGCACUGGAGCUGUAGUCAAUCUCUUCUUCAACUCCUCAAAACUAGCUUGAUAGGCUUGGGUCCACUUGAAUUCCUUUCCUUUCUCCAAUAGUGAUGUGAGAGGCUUCACUAUUUUAGAAAAUCCUUUAAUGAACCUACGUUAGUAUCUUGCAAGUCCAAGGAAACUCUUGACUUCUAUAACUAUCUACGGCGGCAUCCACAUUGGAACAUCCCUAACUUUGCCUGGGGCAAUUCCUCCAUUGAUGAUGACAUGAACAAGAAAAGAAACCUCAUUGAGCUAGAAAUUACAUUUGCUGAACUUUGCACACAAUUGAUUCUCCCUGAGCUUCUGAAGUACUAGCCUCAAAUGUUCCUCAUGCUCUUCCUCAUUCUUGGAGUAUAUCAAUAUAUCAUCAAUGAAUAGCACAACAAACUUAUCAAGGUACUCCAUAACACCUGGUUCAUCAGAGACAUGAAGUAGGCAGGUGCAUUAGUCAACCCAAAUGACAUGACUCUGUACUCAUAAAGCCCAUAUCUAGUAGUAAAAGCAAUCUUGGGAAUAUCUAAAGGCCUAAUCUUCAUCUGUUGAUAACCAGAAUGUAGAUCAAUCUUGGAGAAUACCUUGGCUCCUCUCAUCCAAUCAAACAAGUCUUCAAUGUGAGGCAAUGGAUAUUUGUUCUUGCUGGUCACCUCAUUAAGCAAUCUAUAGUCAACACACAUCCUUUAAGUACCAUCCUUCUUCUCUACAAAGAUAACUAGAGCUCCCCAUGGUGAUGAACUAGGGUGAAUGAACUCCUUAUCCAAUAAAUCCUUUAAUUGUUUCUUAAGCUCUUAUAAUUCAUCAACAGACAAACUAUAUGUAUGCUUAGAAAUAGGUGCGGCACCAGGUAAAAGAUCAAUAAUGAACUCAAUAUCUUGGUCAGGUGGCAUGCCUACCAGAUCCUCAGGGGGAACAUCUGGGAACUCACACACCACUCUGAUGUCUUCUAUGGCAAUAUCCUUUAGUUGAUUGACCACAAAAGCUAUUGCUGAUAGUAGACUAGCCACAAAUUCCAUCCUUUAUCCUUGAGGAUUUGUAGUAAGCAUCAAUCUCUUGGUACACUAAAUUACUCCAUCAAAUGUACUCAACCAUCCCAUUCCAAGGAUACCAUCAAUGCUAGUUGAUUCCAAAACAAUAAGGUCAACUGGAAAGUCUACCUCAUUUAUAUUUAUGUUGACCUUUGAACAAAUGUAGUUUGCUCUUAUCUGACCACCAAGAGAGUCUACUAACAUAGUCUUCUUCAUGGUGUACUUGGGUAAGCUAUGUCUUGAUGCAUAGUGAGAAGUAACAAAUGAAUGUGUGGCACCGGAGUCAAACAAGCCUGUGGCAGGUGCUGAGUUGAUAAAGAGCAUGUUAAGCAUGACCUCUUGAGCCUUCUGAGCACUCUCUGAAGUCACAUGGUUCACCUUACCAUGUAUGUAGUUCUGUUGUCCCAAAUUUUGUUGAGGUUGGUUUCCAUUUUGCACUUUCCAUCUUCGCCAGUUUCAACUCCUACCACCAUUACUGAAUUGCUUUUGGAGAUCCUGGGUAUCCUUCCUCGGGCAGUUGCUGGCGAAGGGACCAACUUCUCCACAAUUAAAGCAUUCAUUUCCCUUAGAGGUGCAAGGGGUACUGGUUUCCAUCGGGAUGUUAUUAGGUGUGAUAUGGUAGUCAUGUUGGAAGUUGGAGCUUUGAAUCUCCAGCUCGGGGUGCUCAAACACAUCAUGUUUCCUGGAGUAGAAUGAGGGGUCAGACUAUUGAGUGCAAUGUGGGCGAGUGUUACUGGUAAUUUUCUUCUAGGAUUCAAACUUCCUCUUCUUAUUCACCAACUCAUGACGCUUGUCCUCCACUAGUAGUGCCUUGUCCAUAAGAUGAUGGAAAUUGGGAAAAGUGUGUGCCACUAACUAAUACUAAAUCGAUCCAUUCAAGCCUUCUAGGAAGUGAUCUUACUUCUUCUCAUCAUUAUCCACCUCUUAUGGUGCAUAGCGAGAUAGCUCGAUGAACUUAUCUCGGUACUCACAUAUAGAUAUCCCUUCCUGCUUAAGACUAAGAAACUCCUUCUUAAGCUUGAUCACACUAGCUAGGAUGUGAUGUGCUAUGAAGUUAUUCUUAAACUCUAACCACGUGAUGGUAGAUGGGUCUGCAUGGGCACUUGAGUAGGAAUCUCACCAAUCUACAGUGUGUCCUUCUAGCCUUCCUGAAGCGUAUAGAACCCUCUCUUUGUCAUUAUACUAAGUGAUCUCAAUCUUCUUCUCUAUACUCAUGAGCCAAUCAUCAGCUUGCAGUGGAUCUGUUGAGUGAGAGUAGGUAGGAGGUUGAUGGCUCAUGAACUCCCUAUGCUUGUCCCUAGGCUACACAGGAGGUGGCUGGUUCACUUUAGCUUGCAAAUUGGCCAUAGUGUUGGCCAAGUUCUGCAGCGGUUGAGUUUGGGCUGCAAGGAACUGUUCCAUCCCUUCUAGUGGCACCUGGUUCUGUUGAGGAUCGGGGUUGGAAUUGCUGCUUCUCUGAUGGGGUUGUGUGGGCUGAUCAACUCCAAAUCCAGACCUAGUGUUCACCAUAUGAUUGUAAAAAUAUGAAACUCAGAUAGUUGUAGAUAGAGAUAAAUCAAGAAGAUAGGGCGAUAUGAAUUUCAGAUUAUGGCAAAUUUUGUUCAUGCUACUAAAUCAGGUGCAAAUAUCAAAAAGAAUAUCCAAAGGUGUUGAAACUUUCCUAGAACAUAGUACACAAAAUUCUAAAACUAACCCAACUAGAAUCACCUCAGUCAAAGGUCUCGAGCUCGAGAUAUGAAUUAAACAAAAUGAUUGUGCCAGCAGUAAUGAUAGAUUCUAAUUAUUUCAUAAACUUGUAUGUAUCUCUCUGUCAGAAUAUCCAAAACAUAUGAACCUUUGAUAGAAAAUCACCAAUUAAAUUCUGGAUCUAAUCCAACUAGAUUCAUAUCAAUUGGAGCUUUGCAGCUCUAGAUAUAGUUAAAAUAGUACAGUUGUGUCAGACAGUGACGCGAACAGAUUUGGCCUCACAAAACUUGCAUAACACAUAGAUAUAGAUAGAUAAAAAUUGUGCAAGAUUAAGGUUGAUUGAGACAGAAAAAAACCCAACCUAGUAACUUUCAUUACUAAAAACUAAUGUCGUUGUGGUCAUCACCCCACAACACACCGCACUCAUUACAAAGAACCAACUCAAGCAUUUAUCAUAAGAACAAGCAUUCCAAACACACUUUAACUUAAUAAACUAGAACACACUUGAAUUAAACAACAUUCAACUCUAUAGAUUAUAGUUAAUUAAAACUUAAAACUCCUAAAUUCUAAUAAGGAAGGUCUUUCGUUUGUAGAAGACAGGGCCAUUGGGUUCUUGAGGACGGUACUGGUGCGGGCCAUUUAAAGAGAGGAAAAAGUUAGAUGGAUUAGAACAGAUGCUAAUGAUUCCUUAAAGCAAGAGCAAGAAAGCAUAGAGUGAAUGGAAUAGCAAAAGUAUAAUAAAGAAACAAGUAGAGCAUUACCGAUGAGACCAAAGCAAUGAUAAGCAUAUUAAAGCAGAUUUAAAGCAAGAAUGAAGUAAGAAUGGCUACUAAAGCAUUAUAAUCCUUAAUCUCGACCAUUUUCUAACUAGGCUAACGUCCUACAGUCAACACAGCUCUAGUACCACUUCUAUCACACCCAGUUUUAAAGGCAAAAUUAGAUGAUGAAUUACAUGUGCGCCAGGAUCAAGUUUCACACAUGCAACAACUUCUAAAAGUACCACCAACAAUGCUAAAGCAUAAAGAGAGUAUUAAAUUUAUUACACGAUUGAUAUUCUUUAUAUCGAAUAGUAAAACGAGUCUUUAUUCUAGUAGUAGAACUUCAAUGAUGACAACGACUCCACAGGCAGUUGACUGGUGGCACACAUACGCCUAGAACUCCUUAAAGUCUUCAGGAACCUCCUCAAAUUAGUCUUGGUCUGAGCAGCAGUUUUAGCAAGGGUGAGUACACUUAUGGUUGGUACUCAACAAGCAUAGGGAAUGUAUAGUAUAAGGCUAUGCAACGAUAGGCUGAGAUUUAAUAGCAUGUCAGCAUUUUAAUUGGUUGGUCAAGUUUGGUUAGGAAUUACUAAGUAUAGGUUUAUACCACCCACAUUCAACAUGAACAUAAAUAAAUAUAAUAGCAAUAAAUAACAUCAAUUUAAUUCAGCUUCCCAUAGAUUAAUCGUAUGAGGAUCCAAGUCGCUCUAGACCAUCAGCACGGCUGAUCGAUCAGUUUUAGACACUCUGUAGAGGUUGUACAUCUUUACCCACAAGUCAUGUUUUCCAAAAUGCUCAGAUUAAUUACUCCCUUAAACACUUCCGAGGUGAGUGGCAUGGGAUUCACUAUGAGUCCUUUACAAACAUUCCCUAACAAUUUAUAACCCACUAAGGUUUCCUCACAAGGGGAUGAACCCUCCCAAAAGGGGUGCGUACACCCCUUGGCUGGACAAGCCAUCGGACAACCUAUGAACCCCUCUUGCCCUUUCGAUAAGACUAUCUCCCACUAGAGUUUCUAAUUAAUUAGCUAAGCCAGAGCCAUAUAGCCUUGUGGUUGCACUGUUUUCAUGGGUGGUCGCUCCAUGUUCCAAUUAACAUGAUGCUCUUUUACUAAGUGAAAGGUAUAGCAAAAGUGAAACAAGUUUAAUCAUUGGUUCAUUAAAACCACCACAUCCAACUUGAGCAACUAAGAAAGUACUACCUAGCAUAAAGUAACCCAAGUUGAUCACGGCAUAAGGAUUAAAACUAGGCAAACCUUAAAUAGGACCCAUCACGUUUAUAAGCAUAAAGUGCAUAUCAUGUGUAUAUUGAACAUCAAAGUAAAGUUUGCAUAGGUUCAAAUUUUGAUCAAGGACAUGUCUUGCCUUCUUCAUCUGGCUCUUGCUGCUCUAAGUCUUCAAAGGUUUGGUCUUCGAAUCUCUCGAACUGUGAUCCUUCUAUGCACAUCAAACAAGUAGAUACAAGCACACAAAAGAAUAACAUAAGAAAACAAUAUACUAAACAGUAGAAAAAGAGCAAAACAAGGUUAUAAAACUAUUCUAUGCAUCAACAAAAACUCUUAGGUGCAAGAAUCGCUCAAAAUGUAUUUAAAACGCUAAAGAUAUGAGCCAAACAAGAUAUAGGGGUUUAUCUGCGAGAAAACUAAACUUCCAGGGACUAAGAUAAAAGAAACCGAGGGCUAAUACCUACUUAAACAUAUAAACCAAAGGUCUAAUGCGCGAAAGGGCUAAACAGGAUGGUGGGCGCAAAAACUAGAAAGAACGGGGGCUUAAACAUAAGAAAUUGGACUAAAAUCUAAUUAGUUUUGCAUUAGUCUAGCCGCGGGUGCAAAAACUAAGAAAGGUGGGGUCUCUUAUGCAAAAGCAUCACAGCUGGCCGACUGUUGACUGGUAUUGACCUUGGGUCAAACAAAUUUGAACCGCUCGGCUCAGAUCUGACGGCUGGUGCUAGCAGGCGGCGAAGGCGGUGGUGGCAGAGGCAGUAGCAUGCAGCAGUGGUUCGUGGGAAUGCAGCAUAACUCGAGCUCUGGUUCUCAGUUUUUGACAAGAAUAGGCUCUGGAGUCAGGCAAGGACACAACGGAUGGAUCAAGAUGGGUUGUAGAGUCGAUAAGGUGGCAACAACGAUGCGCAGCUUGAAGGGGUGGCUCGGCGACGCUUCACCAACUCCGGUGAGCAGUAACGUGAUGCAAAGGCCACGGGUGCGGACAAGAAUAGCACCUAGGGCUUCCUUACCAUGAUGUGAAGCUCGGAGUGAUGCUCUUAGUGAUGGGAAGGCCGCGAAGGUAGAGAUUAGUGGUGGUGGCCAAGCUGAUAGAGUUAGAGCUCGAGCGGGCAGCGUUAGGGCUUGCGGCUUGGAGUUUUGGCGAAAAGAGUUGGCGGAGGCAGUGUCUCAAGUUUUAUAGGCCGAGGCAUCGACCUAGGCGUGCGGGCCAAGGGUGGAGGUGGAUUGGAGUGGCCUGGACUCGAGCUUGAGCUUAAGUCAGACCCAGCACGCUUGGAAAGAUGAUGAGCGGGUCCCACAUCAUAGCGAAAUGGUGUUGGUAUUUCAUAUAGCCUAACAGAUAAAUCCCCAAGCGUACGGAUACCAAUGUAGCUUUCAUUGAGGAGUAUUCCAGAGUAUCAAAUUCCACAGGGAACGAGAAGUGUACUAAUCUUGAACUAAUUCAUCUGAGGGCAGGUGUGGAUAUGAGUGACGACGAAGAGAAGAGUCAAAUGGUAUGAGGGUAAAGAGGGUGCUUGAUCGGGUAACUUGGUUCUCUCAACUAAUCCUGCAAUCAGAAUCUGACUAACUUUGCUUAUGUUAAGGGAAAUAGACGAUUCGCCACAGAAAGGGAUGAGAAGGGGUUCAGCUUGUGCCUAACGCUUGUAUGGUUGCCUACAGGUCCAGCCACUGGACACGUGGUGGAUUCCAAAGGCUAGACAGGGUUGUCACCACCUGCCGGCUACCACAAGCAGUCCGUGGAGCUGGGUGUAUUCCUAGGUAAAAUCUAGUCUAGACACCACGCCUACACUAUCAAUUACUACUUUACUCGGUGCUCAAGCAAAGCACCCACCACAAAAGUAGUGAAUGAGGAACCAGUAAACAGAGACAAGUAAGAACUGAUGCUCAAUUAAUCAAAGGGAACCAGAGUUACCAGACAAGACCCGGAUGUAGCUACUUGAAGAAGAUCUACAUCUGCCGAGGCACAAAGUGGAAGAGGGGCCGACAACUCCGGCUCCUCCCCAACACUCUCACCUCACCUCUCUCCCUAUUUUGCAAAGUAUGGUAGUGGCAGUGCUUCACUUCUUGGAUCUUCUUCUCUUGUGUGUCUUGUCCCGGCACAAAUGCCUCUAUUUAUAGUACCCAGGAGGCAGAGGGGUACUUGUAGGGGUGAAGCAGAGUUGGUUGGAGAUGAGCCCCUAGGUCGGUUGAAUUGGUUAGUUCGGCCGAAGCCAUCUGAUGCUCCACCUCAGCUUCUCCACGCUCGAGAUUGCCUCUUGAGGUUUAUUACUUGCAUGUAGAGUGGCGGUUGUGUCCCGUGGCCGCCAAGAGUGGGGUUAGCCGACCCAAUCACUUCGGCCGACCUACCCUCCCAGAUUUGGGGCCCUCCGAUCCAACGCCUAUUGCUCUGUGCAUACUUGAUUUCCUCAUGGAUGCAUUGGUUGGUGGGUGUAACUCUCUAGGACUCAGUUUGGUGGACCCAUGGAUCCAAGUGAGCUUCACUCGAACUCUCGGAUGCAACCAACAUAAAUCCAACGCUUCACAAUAGUCUUCAUUGUAUUUCUUUGCAUGUGACUGAAGAUGGUCAGGAGGGGACGGCUUUGAUUGGGUCGGCUGACCUGGUGGGUUCGGCCAACCUAGCCAAAGCGCCCCGGUUUGGUCCAAAAUUCAUCCUCCUAUCUCCUGCAUCAAAUAAACACAAAAACUUAUGGAAAUUGUUAGAAUAAAGCCCUUAAGCUAAGGUGAUUGCUUCAAUUGAUUGGUUUUGAUAUAUAUUGGUGGUUGCAAAUGGUAAGUUAACGACCGCCAAUAGACGGCGCAGAGGCGGAAAGGUGCUCGGCGCAUUUGGCGUCGACCGGUGCAGAGCAGGGGAAAUGGGCCGGCGGCCCACAGAAGCUGCACAGGACACGGGCCGGUAAGCUGGCCAGCGAUCGGCGAGCUGGGCCAAGCUGCUGCAGUGGGCUAGCUGCUGCUGCUGCUCUGGGUUGCUACUCCUGCCAGGCUAUUGGAAGAAGAAGGGGGUGGUGGCCCAAGGAAAAAGAUGACAAGGUGGAAGAAGAAGAAAAACAAAGAAGAAACUUUGCUAUUUUCAAAUAGAUUCAAACAAUGAAUUCAAAUUCAAAAUUUGAACUCAACAAUCAGAAAUAAAUGCACCAGCAUGAAUGCAACAAUAAAAAAACCUGCAGUUCUUUAAUUAAAUUUCAGAAAAACAUUUAAAUGCCUAGGAAAUUGAAUUCAACCUUAGAAAAUCCUUAAAUCCUUAAAGAAGCUCAAAUAAAUUCUAGAAAAUUCUAACAAAGCUUAUUAAGUUGCAAAAGUUGAAAAUUAGGGUGCUACGGUUGCUUUUGCAGACUCCUAAUAAUCUCAUCCCAAUCCAACUAUCGUAUUGGAAGAGUCACAACUCAUUCUUUUCUUUAGGGAGAGUUGAGGUGAAAUAUUGGGUUGUCCCAAUAAUUAUCGAGAAAAGGAAAAAGGUAAAAGGAGGUUGUUGGAGCACUAUUUUCAUAUCAACUCUCCUAAUAUGGUAGUUGGAUUUGGGAAAGGUACACUGCUGGAGAUGCUCUAACAAUCUGAAUGGAUAAGUUGCUAGCUAAAAAUAUCAUUUUGGGGCCAACGCAAGCUAGUGUUUGAACUUGUGUCGAAUUUGUCCAUGCUAGGAGAUAGCAUGUUAAAAAUGGACUUGGGUGUAAUACAGGGUAUAACAUGCAGGAAGAAUAAAACGUUUAGGAUCAAAUGCAAUGAGCCUGUUCAUCGAUAUAAAUGGAGAAUAGAGACUUAGCGGGAAGAUGUCUCCCGGAUACACAUGACCGUACAGGACUAGAAUAUCAUAACUACUCAUAUCUCUAUGAUAUUCUAUGAUAAAUGUGUAGAUUCAUAGUUUAACUUUUACAUCACACCUCCUUAUAAGUUCACCAUGUUUUUAACUAAAAUCUUACAAUAGUUGGAAAAAAUGAGCUUUACAUCAAGAGAAAUCAUAUGGUGGAAAGAUACUAAGUACCUGAGCUAUCUAGAGAACAGUACAAAAGAUUACAAAAUAUGUGGGACCAUGUAGGUAAUUUGGAUAAAGAUAGCAAGGUUAUUUUAUACUAUUUUUAUAAUUAUGGAGAAGCAAAUUUGAAAAUCUAAUGGUUAUUAAUUAUUGCAAUGAUGAUUAGAAUCUAUCAAAUUAAAAACCUAGUAUUCUGAUUUUUGUGAUACUCCCUCCAUUCUCCUUUGAGGGCUAGUUUGGCAGCAAGGGUAGCACAAACCAGGGAAAAAUUCCCACACUGGGGAUUUCGAUGGCAAAUCAAUUUUCCGGGAGGAGCUCUCCGCUCAGGUUUGCGAACCACGAGGCUAAAUUCCCCUCUGGAGCAAAAAAUACUUCAAAAAAUUCAGAAAAAAGUAAAGAAAAAUCAUAAAUAUUUAGAAAAAUCAGAAACGCCUUGAAAAAUCUCUAAAAAACAAAAAUCUACACCAGCCUUACAUGACCAUCCAUAAAUUCAAAUUAUGGUUCACUUUAAUCCAUAUAAAUUUGAGCUAGUGAAUGGAUGUUGCACAUAAAUAAUGACAUGUAUGUCUAGUAGAAAAACAAUUUGAUCACAUGCUUCACAAUAACACCUCCAUGGCUCAAUGACAGAUGACACCACAUUGCCACCAGUAGUCACCACCACAAUAUAUCAAAUAUUUAGAUACUAUAAAACUCUAGCUAAAACAGUACUGAAAUGAGCACAUAUGGUUUAGCCAGUUCCAGAAACAUUCUUGUUCCCAUCGGUAAUAAAACAUAGCACAGAUGGUUCAUUCACUUCUGGGGAAUGGACCUUUCGUCCACUUCCUUAGUACCGGCUGGAAUUGGGCCCGGUACUAAUGUGGCAUUAGUACCGGGCCUAAUGUACAGUUCCCCGAGACCCCUUUAAGUACUAAAAAUGUCACGGUACCUUUCUAAGGAUCUCCUCCUGUCUCUCCUUUCCCCCCUUAUCUCGUAUCUCAGUUCUCUCUUCUCACACUUCUCUCUUCUCACGCUUCUCUCUUCUCCCACGCAGGAGCGGGCGGGAGCGACGGGCGGCGGGAGCGCGGGUGGCAGGGCGGGAGCAGCGGGGGCGGCGGUCGUGGAGGUGGGGCCGGUGACGGUGGGGUGGGAGCAGCGGGGCCGGGGUGGCAGUCGGCGGGAGCGGCGGCUGGAGGACGGGGCAGCGGGGCUGGCGCGGGCCGGGGUCGGUGACGGUAGGGUUGGAGCAGCGGUGGCAGCAGUCGCGGGGGCGGGGUCGGCGGUGGCGGGGUGGGAGCGGGCGGGGAGUGGGGCGGGAGCAGCGGCGGGCAAGGGCGGGGGCCGAUUGGGGGCCCAAGUAAGGAUCAAUUUAACUGGGAUAGAGUUCUUAACAGAUUUAGUAAUGCUUAAGUCUAAUGGGAUAGAUGUGAUCCUUAGGAUGUAUUGGUUAAGCCUACAUGAUGGUCACAUAGGGUGUGCUGAUAAGGUAGUACGCCCAACCAAUCAGGAUGGUGCGCAAGUAACCUGUCAUGCUCGGGGAAGUGGACCAGACCCGGUGGUUUUUAGCAUGGAAGCUAAGGCUAUAGAGGAAGUCCCGGUAGUGAGUGAAUACCCCGAUGUCUUUCCUGAAGAACUACCUGGAUUGCCACCAGACAGGGAUAUAGAGUUCGUAACUGAUCUUAUCCCUAGAACCUCUCCCAUAGCCAAGAGACCCUAUAGGAUGGCAACAUCUGACUUGGCAAAGCUGAAGAAACAGUUAGGGGAAUUGCAACAGAGUGGUUUUUAUCAGGCAUAGCUCAUCCCCGUGGCCAGCUCCAGUUCUCUUUGUCCAGAAGAAAGACGGAAGCACGGGGAUGUGUGUGGAUUAUCGUUCGUUGAACAAGGUCACCAUCAAAAAUAAAUAUCCUCUCCCCAGAAUAGAUGACCUCUUUGAUCAGUUGAAGGGAGCCAAGUAUUUCUCCAAGAUUGAUUUGAGGUCUGGUUAUCACCAGCUCAAGAUUAAGGAGAGUGACAUCCCGAGGACGGCCUUUGUCACCCGUUAUGGUCAAUUUGAGUUCACUGUGAUGUCUUUUGGGCUGAUCAAUGCACCUGCACACUUCUUGAACCUCAUGAAGAAGGUGUUUGUGGAUGAGUAAAAUAAGUUUGUCGUAGUCUUUAUUGACGACAUACUUAUUUACUCCAAAAGCGUCCAAAAGCAUGAGCAGCAUCUACGGGUGGUGCUAGAAAAGUUGAGAGUGCACAAACUCUAUGCCAAAUUCAGCACAUGUGAAAUUUUGGUUGAGAAAGUAGCUUUCCUUGGCCAUAUUUUGACCGUUGAAGGAUUAGUAGUUGAUCCCGAGACAGUUGAAGCAGUUUCCAAUUGGCAACAGCCAACUAAUGUGAGUGAAAUUAGAAGCUUUCUUGGGUUAGCUGGGUAUUAUCGGAGAUUUAUUGAAGGAUUUUCCAAGAUAGCCUGGCCCAUGACAAAACUGCUCAGAAAGGAUAAGAAAUUCACCUGGAUAGAGUCAUGUGAAAGAAGUUUCCAAGAAUUGAACAAAAGAUUGACGACCGCCCCAGUGUUAACCUUGCCGGAUAAUCAGAGGGACUUCGUCAUAUAUUGUGAUUCAUCCCGAAAAGGAUUUGGAUGUGUCCUUAUGCAAGAUGGGAAAGUAGUGGCAUAAGCUUCCCGCCAGCUUAAGCCUCACGAGCAGAAUUAGCCAACCCAUGAUUUGGAACUUGCAGCCGUAGUGCAUGCCCUCAAGAUUUGGAAGCAUUAUCUGAUUGGGAAUAAAUGUGAGAUCUACACUGAUCACAAGAGUUUGAAGUAUAUCUUCACCCAACCAGAUUUGAACUUAAGGCAGAGAAGGUGGUUAGAAUUGAUUAAGGAUUACAAUAUGAAAAUCCAUUACCACCCUGGCAAAGCUAAUGUGGUAGCUGAUGCCUUAAGCAGGAAAUCUUAUGGGCAGCUCGGACCCAAAGAUACUCAUCUACAAGAAGAAAUGGCACGAUUAAAUGUUCACAUAGUUCCCCAGGAUUCCAGCUGCAAGCUAAGUGUUCAACCCACCCUUGAGGAUAAAAAUAGAGAAGCCCAAUGUUCAAAUUAGGAUUUAAUGAAAAUCCGUAAGCACACUGGAGAAAAUAAAGCACCAAAUUUUAGAGUGGAUGACAAAGAAACCUUGUGGUACAAAAAUAGAAUUUGCAUACCCAAGGGAGGGGAUUUUCGGCAGAUCAUUAUGGAUGAAGCCCAUAAUUUGGCAUACUCCAUCCAUCCAGGAGCCACCAAAAUGUAUAUAGAUUUAAAGCAAAAAUACUGGUGGAAUGGAAUGAAGAUAGACAUUGCCCAGUUCAUCGCCCAUUGUGAUACUUGUCAAAGAAUCAAGGCUGAGCACCAGAAGCCAGCAGGUUUAUUGCAACCAUUACCCAUCCCGAUUUGGAAAUGGGAGGAAAUUGGUAUGGAUUUUGUGGUUGGUUUGCCUAAGACUCAAAAAGGAAAUGACUCCAUAUGGGUAAUAGUGGACCGACUCACUAAGGUCGCUCACUUCUUACCCGUACGAACCAAUUAUGGUGAACAAAAAUUGGCUCAGCUCUAUGUGGACAACGUAGUGAAGUUGCAUGGUGUGCCUAGCAGAAUUGUUUCGAUUAGAGGUACCCAAUUUACCUCUAGGUUCUAGAAAAGUCUGCAUAAAGCUAUGGGAACCAAGUUGGAUUUUAGUUCGGCUUAUCACCCACAGACUGAUGGCCAAACAGAAAGGGUGAAUCAAAUCAUGGAAGAUAUGUUGAGAGCUUGUGUCUUCCCUAUGGCAAGGGCUGGGAGCAGAGUUUACCCUACACAGAGUUCUCAUACAACAACAGCUAUCAAGCUAGUUUAGGCAUGUUGCCAUUUGAGGCCCUCUACGGAAGAAAAUGCAGGACUCCUUUAAUGUGGUCAGAAGUGGGAGAAUGCAACUUAGUUGGACCAGCCUUUAUAAAAGAGGUAGAAGACCGAGUGGCCGAAAUUAGAGAAAAGCUGAAGGUAGUGCAGUCCAGGCAGAAAAGCUACUCAGACAAGAGGAUACGAGAGUUGAGUUUCAAUAUAGGAGAUUUCAUCUAUCUCAAGGUCUCACCAAUCCAAGGGACUCAAAGAUUUCAGAUCCAAGGAAAAUUAGCCCCUCGGUAUAUUGGACCGUACCAGGUGUUGAAGAGAGUUGGAGCGGUGGCAUACCGCAUUCAGCUGCCCAAACAAAUGUCAGAUAUACACCUGGUAUUCCAUGUCUCCUAGCUAAGGAAAUGUUUGAGAGUGCCUGAAGAGCAAGUACCGGUGGAAACAAAAGACUUGCAGAAGGAUCUUUGGUAUCAAGAAAUGCCCGUCAAGAUCUUAGACAUUGUCACCAAGAGGAUAAGAAAUUCAGUGGUGCGGAUUUGCAGAGUUCAAUGGAGUAGGCAUAGUGAAAACGAAGCCACUUGGGAACGCGAAGAUGCUUUAAAGAAAGAGUUUCCCCAUCUUUUUAGGAUUCACCCGACUCUCGAGGAUGAGAUUCAGUUUAAGUGGGGUAGGUUUGUAACGUCCCAAAAAUUCACUUAAUUUAAAUCACACAUUAAAACUCAAUUUCAAAACUUCUUUACCGUUUGAGCUCCCCGAUCCCAUCUUCCCCGAUAGUAAUGCUGUUCCCAACCACUUGAACCCCGUUGUCCCAUCUCUCUUUUUCACCCACGCGUCGUGCCACGUUGUCGGCCCGACCGUUCCGCCAUUCCCGCCAUCUCUCUUUAUUCCAUCGAUGUGCAACUUUGACCGUACCCUGUGCACCAUCAGAUCAAUCCCCGAAUCUCUUUUACCAUUUUACCCCCCCUCCCUAUAUCUCUCUUGCUUUCUUCUUUCCCUUCCUCCUUUUCUUUUACCUAUCUUCCUUCUUCUCCACGUGCAUGCCAGAACCCUACCUCCCUGCCGCGCCCCUCGGCCCCACCUCGCACCCCUGACUGUACCCCACUCACUGCUGCCGUGCCGCACCUCCUGUAUAGCCCAAAUUCAACCACAACAUUCCCAAAUACAUUUCCACCGAGUUACCUGCCUUUUUCUUCCAAUAAAGCUUUCCAUCUUUCUAUAUAUCUUUCUCUCCCUCUCCCCGAGCUCAACGGGGAAAACCUCUUUCUUUUUAUUUAUUUGUGAGAUUUGCUUAUGUGUGCCAUAGUUAACGGAAUGCCGGAGGAAGAGGAGCCCAAACACGAGCUAGGAGGCCAGUACCGCGAGCCGGAGCCCGAGGACCCAUACCGCAAGCAGGAACUCCCGGAAGGCUGAGGACGGCAAGUCCAAUCUCACCCUUUGAUGCAUAUUUAUCCCAGCUUUACAGACACAACCUAUUGGCCAUUUUUAUAAAUUGCAUAUUGUUUUACUACUUAAAACCUGGUUAGAUAGCCACCUCUUGAUUGCUAUGAUUAUUCCUUGAUGACCUAGAAUUAUCUCUAAAUAUGAUAUGCUCUCUUUAGAAGAUAAUUGCUGCUAGAACGCUUAGGAAUUGGUAACUUUCUUUGAUACAACUCAAUCAUGAAUACAAUAUUUUGCCAAAGAUAAAUGUGUGAGUGUUUUGGUGAAAAUAAAUGGGGUUUUGAUGAAGAUAAAACAAGAUGUUUAGAUGAGAUAUAUGGGUGUUUCUUGUGUGAAAUGCAGGUUGGGAGAUAUCCGUAUGUAACAACCUAGCCUAAUUAAACCAUGUUUAAUCUUAAGUAAAGUCAUUAGAGCAUAAAGAAGAACAAUGGCAGUUGUGAAGACAAGUAAAAAGACCCUUUUGCUCUCACAAGCUAAACAACUGUUUACACCAUAACUCAAAUUUUUGCUUAAGAACUUAACAAUCUAUCCAACUAAGAGUUGUAUAACUCAACUUUCCUAACAACUUUUAUUUUUGGUGUUUUGUCUGAAUCUGAGUAGAAGACCUUCAAAAACUUAAAAUUUGAAUCUGUGCUGAUUUAAGAAAAAUAGAUAAAGUCCCAACUUUGGAGCUCUUUAUCUACAAUUCUUCAAUAUGAACUCAAGCUGAGCUCUAUACUAAAGUUUUAAAGCUUCGAGCCCUUAACAACUUUGAAUAAAGGAGUAAGGUCAAAAUCUGCACAGAAGGCUUUCAAAACCCAGGUCAAAGUUGCCCAGUUUGGUCAACCCAACCCCCGACCUGCAAUCUAGACUAAGUCUGGAAUCAGUUCAACCACCAUCUUGGCGUAAGCUUAUCUUACAAAACUUGAACAUAACGCUAGCAAAACCAUUUAUAAGAGUUUGGGAACUAUGUUCAUACAACAACUUCAUCUUUUGGACCCUGGUCAAAUUCACCUCAGAAGCUCUUCGAAACUUGAGCUCAAUUCAGCCAAAAAUAUUAAAAGCAGCCAAACUGCCAAAUUCUUCUAAGUCUCGAAAAACGGCGUUCCCUCAAAUUUUGAAGCUUUGUAUCUUCAAAUAUGCUAUGAUUUUGAAGUCAGUUCAAUUACAAAAAUUGAACUUGGAUCUGAGGAGUACAACUUUUGUAAUGGGAGUUAAUGUCGUGCGGAUCAAAAAUCUAGAGAAACUCGCGCUCGAAGACCGCCCCAUCGCCGGAUCCCGCAGAUCCCUCGCGCCCAGAGCACGCAAGACUGCAUGCGUCGCGCUCCACCCACCGCUUGCCGCGUGGCCCCUGCUCACUGAUGCAGCACCUCCGCCUGGUCUCCGGCUAUGGUAGGACGACGCCUCGCGCACCAUGCCGCCAGUGAAGCGCCACGAUCCCCCACCCUGCUCCCAGCAGCUCCGCCUUGCCCGAAGGCACGCCUUGCCCGCUGCCCUGCCCGAGCGCGCACCCUCGCGGAUGCCCUCCUCGACACUGCCGCCUCCACCAACCGCUGCCCCGGCCGCGACAGCUCCUUCCCGCCUCGCCAGUGAUGCGUCCCGACAAAGCUGUUAUUGCCAUGCACGCUCACUUCACCCGCGCCUGCACGCCUUGCCUGCCGCGCCACCCCUCCCUUCUCUGCGCCAAUGGCGCCACCGCCAUUAAUGGCCGCAGCAGUGCCCUGGCUCCCCUUCGGUCCCCAGCUGCCAGCCUCGGCUCCGCCCCGCUCGCCUAUAACUGUGCCGCCAACGCCGCCGCACUCCCCUUCCCCGCUCCAGCUCUCCCUCGCCGCACCUGUCGCCGCCGUGCUCUGUUUUGCUCCCGCCAUCGAGUCACGUCUCCAUGGAGCCCCCACCUCCGCAGCUUGCCGCUCCUCUCCGCCACCACCGUUAGCCCCGUUGUGUCUGCGUGAAGCUUCACGAGCCGCUUCUUGGGGUUCCUAAGCGCCGACGACACCGGCACGCCACCGGACUUUGCCGCCGCCCGAAACUCCCCGCCCUUGCACCAUUCCACCCCCACCGAGCCUCCUCCGCACCCCCAACCGCCGCCAAUCACCUCCCGGUGAGCUCCCGCGCCUUCCCCAUAACUUCUUUCCCUGGAUUGGCCGGCGCAUCGCCGGAAUUUGGCUGGACCGCUGUCGUGCGCGCUGCCAAGGACACACUUGUGUCUUUUCCCUUCUUCCAGGGGCCUUAGCGCAAAAAUGAAGGACCCUUGCAUGUUUAACCUAUAGACACAAGGGCUAGAUCGCAAGUUUACCAUGGUUUUUCUUUUUUUUUGACAAAAAAUGCUCCAAACUUUGAAAAUACGCCAUAAAUUGUACAAAAAUCGUAAAAAUGUCAAAUUAAUUUUUCUAGACUCAGUAUAAAGUGUAGUUCUUGAUAAAAAUACUUUUGGCACAUGUCUCUACUAGAAUUUAUGUUAUAUGUUUUGAUCCUUGUUUAAGCUAUUUAAAUCAUAGUAAAUUACAAAAAAAAGCUAAAAUGAUGAAUCCAACUCUCAAGUGUUUGUUUCAGAGAAUGCAAGCUUAUAAAAAUAAUGUGGAGCCUAGCUAAGAUGUUUAAGUCUCUGUUUUAGUUUUAUGAUUAAAAUCUAAGGUUGCUUUUUGUCCUUUUUUGCAUAAUAAUUUAUCCAGAGGUGAGAAAAAUGUGAAACCACAUUCAGUAAGUCAGUGGCCAAGCCUAGUUCACAAGAAAAACUUGAAACCCUGUCUGAAGGUUCUUGGAACCUACCUACCUUUUUAUAGGAAGAUAAGUGAGAAGAAGUUAUGGUAUAGGGUUUCCCUGCAUUAAUAUUUCUGAAAAAUUCACCAAAGGCUAUGUUCCUUCUUUGUAACACUCUGCUAAAAUUUCAGCAACAAACUCUAUGAAUAACUCGAGUUAAAAAUGAAUAAGUACUUGUCACCUAGGGAUGAUGAAAUAAUUUUAAUUCUUUUUGUACUGAUCCAAUUCACCCCAAAUUUUUACAGUAACCUAAUGAUGUUAUGUCUAAUCUACUGUUAAAUUAACAAUGUCAUUCCACACUGUUUGAAGAUGGAAAUAAAAUUUGGAAGAUGGACCUAACUAAAUGGAAGAAAGAAACCUUAAGUAAAGGUAAUGGUCUUUUUCGGUAGAGGUACAAAAAAUAUUCAGAAAUAGGAUAACUUUCCGAUCUAAAGUUUAAUAAAGAUAAGUUGUAUAUAUGUACGCAAUCACCAUCAAAUAAACCCCGAGUUUUAUACCAUAACAUACCUUACCUUAUGCAGGUAAAGAAGGUUUAGAACCUUGUUUAGGUGAAUGUGGUCAUAGUGUAAUUUACACUUCAAUACUAAUUCGUGUUUUCCAUCCUAUGCGAAAGCAUGGAAGUUUGAACUUGAUGCAUUUGCAUUUCGUGUAGAGCUGAACCUUGCUGACGGAACGUACGAGCUGCACCCGGCGCCAGAAGAAGGAGCCGUAGCUGAUAUGCAUCAAGUCAGAGCCGAGCCCGUACCGGAGCAAGCCAAGGACUAGUUCGCUAACUCCCAGUGUUAAGGGAAGCUCCGGAGCAUGAAUUCCUAUUUUUUUAAUACAUGCAAUAUAAUUGACUACUUUGGUUGCGCAUUUACGACUCUAGCAAUUGAUUGAAACCGUAGAUGCAUGACUUAGUACCCAUUGACCUGAACAUUAGUAUGAUAAGCCAAGUAGUUGCAAUGCUUAAUAGGAAUAAGAAAAAGUCGAGUGAUUGCCUAUCACUCGCGAGUUAUAGGAUAUGAUUGCUUUCCUUUUGUUACAACUAUAAGGACGAAGGACGGGGUAAGGCUCUGUGAAUUGUUUUUGGUGGUCAGUGGAUUGCCCCGUCUGUCUACAUGAAAUUGGACUAAGGUCGAGAUGUGAUAGUGUUUGUGAUCAAGUGUUGAAAGUACUAAUCUCAUACCUAGUAUGGGAUGGGGAAGCUUAGUACCUGAUUGAACCGGGACGUAAGCGGAUCGCCCCACUGUCUCUGGAAUGGAUGCUCCCUUGCGGCCGCAUGUAGUGACAAGUGCGGUCAUAGAACAGCAGAGGCUGGGUUUAUGGAGCCUUGUACCGAGGGAAGUGGGCCCAACACGAGUCUGGGAAUUGAUGGGGAUGGCUGACCAAUGAAGCGACCCUUCACGGUGCGUGGAUGUCAUGGGAUUAGGUUCGCCAUACAUGGUUGAGAAAUUCGAAUCGAUUCGUCUGCCUCUCACAGUUUGGGACUACUUGAUCGCUAUGCUACACUUAGUAAGAAUGAAAUAUGAUGAUGAGCUAAUGUUGUUACUUGUAUUAAUUGCUUGGAAGCUAUGCUUGGUUUAGUAUAGUUGCUAACUUUGAAUGGUAAAACAACAAUAGAACUUGUGGCUAAAAUAUUGAAAGUAAGGACCUACACUAGUCGCUUUUGGCAAAAACAAACCCUAGAGCCAAAAAGCUUGCAUGUCUAGGUGUUGGCAGAUUAGUACCACUGGUUGGUUAAGUCUUGUUGAGCGUAGUUGCUCAACCUUAUUGUGGCACAUCUUUUCAGGUAAUGUUGAUACUCCUGAGCUCGCUGCAAGUGGCACUUGGCCUACCCAACUUCCUCCUGGUUGGACGGUUGAGUGGGAUCCCUCCUCGGAUGGCGAGGAAAGGGAUCAUUGAUGUCAUGAUCGGCUUCUUCAUGAUAUCCUGCAAUGAUGUCUAGCUUCCGCUUAUUUGUUUCUGUCAUUUGAAAACUCUGCAAAUUUUGUUUGAAUUUCGAACUUGAUGUUGUAAUAAUUCGAUGCACUGUUUAAUUUGGAUGGAUUGUUGUAAUCUCUGUAACCACUCGCCUUCGUGCGAGUCUUGCUUUCUCAAUCCUGAGUUAGGUGGUUUAUCAGAUGAAAUCCAACAGACGACCAAGUUGACUUGUUUAAAGUACAUGAUCGCGUGUUAAGCGACUUAAGUGUGCUUUAGCCAUGUUAAUUUGGGCGGUUCCACCACACCGUCUUGUCUUGGUCAAGGACCGAGUUGAUGUGUCAUCUUGCCUAGCCCAAUUUAUCGUGCAACCACUCGAUCUUUGUAUCCGGCAAAGGCUUAGCAUAAAUCCCACUAGCUAGUCUGUUAGCCAUCAGGAGAGCGGGUGAGCAACGGAAAACCAUGGAGAAGGAGUAAGCAUGUGUGGCUUAGGUCCCGGUUAAGACCUCGUUGGUAGGUCGUUAACCCCUUGGUUGCUUCCGUGUUGGCUAGUCAGGUGUUAGCUAAGGUGGGUAAUGGCUUUGAAAGGAUCCGCACUAACAUUAAGGUGAUCGAGUUGUGGUACUCUACUUGUGUGUAAAGUGUACACCUCAGCAGAGUUAAAACCUAUUCGAAUAGAAGUGUCCAUGGUAUUGGAUGAGUUAUGGUUUGGACACAUAACUAGCUUUUGGGAUGGAUGAUUUUCAUGGCGUGCGUUGGAUUUUAGAAGUGUCCGACAGUUGUGCCGUGAGCUAUCGCGGACGGGGAGUCCGGUAGCAUUAAAAUUUGGAUCCUUUGUGUAGGAUCAAACCCACUCAAUUAUUUGGUUACUAAAUAAAUGCUUUGUGAAAACCUUUUUAAAGUGAACCCUUACAUGUGUUAAAAAUCUAGCUUUAUUGCAAAUGAACCUUAGCCUUAUCCUUGUUAUGACUUACACACAUUCUUAUUAUUUCCCCCUCCGUGGGUGUGGUUGGAUUUGUUGAGUACUUUGUACUCACCCUUGUUUUGUUGCUUCAGAGGAGGAUCUGGACUUUUUUGCCAAGGACAUCGAUUAGGUGGUCGUUUUCGCACCCAACGUUGUCUGUGGUGUUGGACCUUUGCAGGAUGGUUCCGCUAGCAUGUAGUCCCGAGUGUUGUCUAGUGUUCAUCUGAACAGUAGCUUGGGUCGACCAUCGUUGUUUUACUUAUUUUCAGUGUAGUUUUCGCGCCUGCUCCCUCGGGAGUUGUACAGUAUAUGAACCAUCUAAUAAAUAAAUGUGUUAUCAGCCUCCUAGAACUGAUAUUUGUAUCAUAUUUAGUCUCUGCUUACGUGAGGACGCUUCACUAAUUUUUUGCUUUAGCCACAUUAAUCGAACAUUAGGAUUCUUGGUUGUAAUGAAUAUCUUCAUGUGUGUCUCAGACUCAAAGACAUCCAAAGAAUAUGACUUCUCAUUAUCAGUUAAUUCAGCCAUAGCAUCCACUUGAUCAACACACUUCUCAACUGAAAAUUCUUCAUCACACCUUUUCCUUUCUUCAAGAGCUUGCAAAGUUUUGCUAUUUUGGCUCUUUUUAAAAUCCACAUAUCCUUGAAGAGCUGAUCCAAUGUGACUUUGCUUACGCUUUCUCCCACUUCCACCUUCUUCCUAUCUUGAAUCUUGAGCUUUAUUGUGUUCACUAUGUGCACUAGAAGUCUCUUGGCCAUCGAAACUCGAAGCAAAUGGAUUAGUACCCAAGUGACUGCAGCUUUGUUUAGAGUUACUUCUUUCAACAGGAGGUGCAGGAGGAGGAAGAGCAGAAGGUGCAGCAAGAGGAAGAGCAGGAGGUGCAGGAGGAGAAGGUGGAUCCACUUGCUUGGUUGAUGUGAAGUUUAGUUUUCCUGUAGCAACACUUCCUAUUUUCAAGAGACAAUUGGAACUCAUAUUACAACCACUAAAUUGUUUGAUGCUGAAAGCAAUAAAUUAAGCUAUGCAAGUGAGAAAUCUUCACUUUCAUAUAGUGCUUCCAAUUAGUAAAAGAGAGAAAAUGGCUUUUUGCGGAACUUUGAUACUCUAGGGUAAUUCUGUGCAACAUAAAACUAUAAUUAGUUCUCAAUGGUAACUUAGCUACUUCUGAGCAUAUUUUGUACUUCUAAACAGGAAAUGGCUUAUCUUAAUUAGUUUUUCCCAGACUUUUGAAUAUGCAAGUAUCAUACACAUAUAUUCAUUCCAGCCAUUCCCACUUUCACUUUUAGCAUCUCUUAGUGCCUUGUAGUUAGCUUUGAGCUCCUUCUUCUUCUCCUGCACCGCUGCUUUGUGAAAUGAGCUAUGGGAAACUUCUCAUUGAACUUGGUGGUAAUAACCCUCCAGUCCUUCGAUACCCAACCAUUUUGACCUUUAUAUUUGGGGUUAUCUUUGUAGUCAUAUAAUAUUUCAACAUAUCAAAAAAAGACCUUCCUCAUAAGUGGAGUUCCAAGAAGCCCUAUCAACAUCUCCUGCCAUGGUUGCAUUUCCCAAAACAUGUUAAGAUGAAGUUGACAGAAACAUGAAUGCAAGUUCAAGGUGUUUCAAAAAAACAAAUUCAAGUACAAGGAUAAUAAUUGCAUUAAAUAAAGGCAUUGAUUACAAUAAUGUUUGCAGUAGAAAGUUCCAAAAUUACAUAAGCAAAUCAUACACAAACUAGAGAAACCAUACUCCUCUAAAAGACAUUAUUCUAAACUAAUUAUUAUUAUUAUAAGUAGCCCACAUUUGGUGUGCGAUCUGAUCUCAUAGAGUAUUGCCAUCACUUGACUCCACCUCACUUGGAUAGUUGUUGUCCCCCUUUGUCGGACAUACACCCUAGGCCCACGAGUAAGCCCUGAACGGCCCACCAAGGGGCGUACUCAGACAUGGUCAAGACAAGGGGGCUAUGCAGCAAUAGGCGUAUCCCAGUCAGACUAGUUAAGUAUGUGUAUGGAAACUACUCGGGUCAUACAGAGUAGGACUGUGUAAUUGUACUCGACUAGGAUUCAGACUUGUAACCCUGCCCUCCCAUUUAUAUAAGGGCGGGCAGGGACCCCCCUCCAGAACAACUCCAAUUCAUCUAAGAUCAAUACAACCAAACACACAGGAUGUAGGGUAUUACGCGAUCUAGCGGCCCGAACCUGUAUAAAUCGUGUUCCUUACAUCACCAUCGACUCCUUGAUUCUCGAUGGCCCUUACCGCACAAAAGACCACCUAGGGUACCCCCUAGGUAGGUUGCCGGUCUAAAACACCGACAACUGGCGUGCCAGGUAGGGGUGCUCGUCGAGUUUCUCAGCGUGAGCUCGAUGGCACCCGUUGUUUUCAAGCCUAUCUUCACCAUCGAAGCAGGCGCAACCUUUGUUUUUGGAUCCUGGCUCUUCGUCGCCGACGGUGCUGGAUUGUUCUGGCGCCAGAUCAUCAACGUCCAGGAGAAGAAAUCGGAGGAUUCGGUCGAGAAAAACCAAAAUUUCAAAGUCAACAAUCCCGAGUUCGACUACGCAUCGGACCCGACCUCAGUUCAGACUAGUCAGUCCCAGUCACUUCCCAAAUCGACUUCGACUCCAAAAUGGAUCCCAUACAGACUCCACAAUGCAGCCGAAGUCUACCAAAGUUUCCUCACUCGAACUCAACUCGAACACGGGAAAGAUGAAGACGACGACUCUGACUCAGACUAUCUCCUAGAGCUCCCACUAACAGGACCAGCCAAAGGACUGGUAAUAACUUCAACAUCACAAGGCAUAUUCGUACACUGGAUAGGAAUGAGACCAUCCCUCCUUGCCCGCGACUACGAGUCGCGCCUUGUCGCUCAUAUAGACAACCUCCCAUACCAAGAAGGCGUCCCACUCACUUCAAGCCGCGAUGAAAGUUCCACAGAAAUUGCAACAUCAAGCUUUGGAAGGUACUACCCAGACAGAGAAGCCUUUGUUAUUACUCAAAAUAACAACUCGGGUACUAGCCAGCAGAGAACUCCCCGGCGACUAGCACAACUCAACAAUGUCUCAGAAGACGAGUCAACAACUAACGCCCCACAAGAUGAAACCUCCGAUCAAAGGAAAGAAAGAAGGGUGUGCAAUGCUACUCGGGCUGAGCGAUGACAAACGCUGGCUACAAACAUUCCCAUCACAAACCUCGAAAGAGCAUUUGACACAGUACAGGCUCAAGAAAACAACACUCCACUCGCAGCAAUUGCCUCUAUCAACCUUAUAUCAACGCUCACACCUCAAGACAGAGACAACGAAGUCACAGCUCAACUUGCGCAGCGAGGCAACGGACUAAUCGCACAACUCGCAGAACAAGCUUACAAGCUACUCGACAAAGAAUCACCAAUCCCGUCUGUUCCCCGCAUCGUAGUUCAUCAAGAAGGCAGUAGAGAUGCUGCAGCCAACAACAACGAAGUACAAAGGAACGACAACGAAGUUGUAAACCAACCAAGGCAACACAACCAAGGUCUGAGUAAACACAAUGCCCCAAUACGCCAGAAGGACGUUGGAGAAGUCAGCUGCACCAACUCCGUGAAAAGUCCUCGCCCCACUCGGAAAAAUCAUGAAAUAUCAAAUUUCAGUGAUCUACGAGAAAUAAUCAACAGUCGACGUGAGCGAGAAGUCGACAACUACAACCACUUUCCUGCUUUCACAAACCGGGUAAUGAGGACAAGACUACCCGAGAAGUUCAAACCAACAGGAAUCACCAAAUAUGACGGCAAGCAAGACCCAAUUCAAUAGCUCCGAUGCUACUCUUUAGCAGUGCAGGCAGUUGGGGGUAAUAACGACACCAAAGUCAUCCACUUUCCCAUAUGCAUGGAACUCGCACCGCUGACAUGGCUUGAGUCACUCAAACCUAGAUCAAUCGACUCUUGGGCAGAUUUGACAAAGGCUUUCACCAACAAUUAUGCCGGCUCCAUGGCUAGACCGGGCAACAAGAUCGACCUGAGUCAGAUAAAACAGAAAGAAGGUGAAACACUACGUGACUACUUGCGACGAUUCUUCGAAAAGAAUGUUACUAUAGUUGACAUUUCAGAAACAGACGUCAUCGAGUGCUUCCAGAAUGGAUUCUACGAUCAACGAACAUACCAAGACUUCGGCAGACGAUGACCAUCUAAUGUCAAAGACCUCAAAGUCAUGGUACAACAAUGGGCAGAUGAAGAGGACAAAGAGCGAGAAUGGUUCGGCUCUCAUCGCAACCGUGGACACGACAACAACAACAAUGAUCAGGAUAGAACUCGACACAAUGAUACUCAAAACAACUUUUUGAAUAAUCAAAAUCGCAAACGGAAACCCGACAACACCAUUGCUUUCAUAACUAACUCCGGGAAAAAGGGAUCCCGCAAAAACGAUGAAGGGCCAACCUUGACCGAACUACUCAAAAAACAGUGCCCAUGGCACCCGACUAGCAAGCGUCAUGUGGCAAUCUCCUUCAGUAGAACAAUAUGAUGAAGAAAUAGCAGAAGAAACAAGACGCACGGAUCUGGACAGCCUAGAAGAAACAAGAUGCACAGCAUUAGUUCAAUUAGCCAGAUACCUUGACGGGUUAAGACGAUACCACGACCGCAAUGUCAAGGAACGGUCCUUCAACUUAGGCGACAUGGUCCUCAAACGAAUCCAAGACACGUUAGGGUUGCAUAAACUCAAUUCACCAUGGGAAGGUCCUUACAUUGUAUCCAAGGUUACAGGACCCGGAUCUUACAGACUACAAGAACUUUCAGGAGAACAAGUACCAAACUCUUGGAAUAUAUAGUACCUCUGUCGCUACUACCCUUAGUAGACAAAAGAACUCGAGUUAUUACUUCAAGCAGAAACUCAUUUCAACUACUCGAGCUAGCAGCUCGACUACCGACUACAAGAUAUACUACUCUUGACACCAGACUACCAACUCAACAGGCAUUCCAGCUCUAGUACAAAGCCUCAAGGGCAGAGUAAUUUUUUACUUAAGUCCGAAGACAAAUCAAAAAGUUACAUACAAGUAAAGGUACUCGAAAUAGAAUACAAAAAGACUACAAGCAAUUGCCUACUGGCGGGCUUCAUUUAAGCCUCAGGCUUUUACAAUAUCACAAGGCCACUCAGGUCUGCCGACUACAAUGGGAAGGGCCCACACGCAAGGAAGCUGCGCAAAACGCAGCCAUACCCAGGUCCUCUACCCAAGGCAACACCAGGUACUCCUGCACCACCGCUGCCUUGACAGCGGCAAUGAUGAAUCCCACGUGCCGCGCAAAAAAGGAAACAAGGCUGCUCUUUUGCUAGCCUUGUCGACCCGACCCACAUUGCGGCAACACCUCCUCCUCUAAGAGAGCAGGAUAAAGACCGCGACACUCAUCACCCAUCACUCGCGAGUUCCAGUGCGUACCAGGCUGGAUCACGAGCUGCAAGAUGAGACGCGCGAUGAAACCUCCUACGAGGAUUCAUCUAGCAUCGCGGCUAUCCCUACGAGUGCUAGAGUCUGUGGAGGGAAGGUGGCCCCAAUCUACGAGGAAUCUUCUAGCACCGGUGUACUCUUUGAAGGCUCUCUACACUCAAACAAUAGCAACCGGAGGCAAUCCAUCGCUACUCAAAGCCUGAUGCAGGUCGAUCUCCAUGGCGGUCUAUUUAUAGCCAAGCGCUACAACCGUCAACCACCCAGGAGUUACUAUACGCCCAUGAUCGACGAGUCUGGAUGACCUCUGACUCUGCCCACAUGAAAGCAUUCAUGCCACAAAGGAUAAAAGAGUAUAGUACACCCGUGCACCCCCCAUUCAAAGAGUAAAAAGCAGAAUACUCGACAAAAGUGCGACUACCCAAACUCAACACUCGGAACUGCUCCAAAUAACAAAGGAUGGACAAGUGUUCAUUUUUCAAACAAAAUAUUGUUCCAAAGUACUCGGCAGCUUACAAGAGUACACAAAAGCCUAAGGCUCCUCCAAAGAUACAAAAUCAGACAUCUUCGACGCAAUUGGUUCAACCUCCUCGAGGUACUGCGUAUAAGCCUCCUCCGUGCAGUUGCGAGCAACGCCAUCACCAGCCGCCGUCAAAUCUGCUCUCGGGUAAUAGGACUUGACCACAGCAAGGACUUGUUUACAUACAGCCUUACAGAGGCUAGCUACCUCACCCGGAGCAACCUUCAAGCGCUCGACUGGUGAACGCGGUCCUGCGUCCUCUUCAAGAGGAGCAAUGGCAUUCACCAAGUCCUGAGCGGCAUCAGUUAACUCUUGAAGCUCGCCGUGAAGUCUUCCUAUGGUCUGGCCAUGAUCUCUAUAGGCCACCAUGGCCAUAGCAAGCAUCACUCCAUUCUGGUUUUUCCUGUCUCGCUGAUGCUCGCAGGCAGCCUGCGCUUCAGUCAGUGCAACCCAAAGAUGAUUAGCCUCAUCAGCUACUCGGUCAUGCGCGUUCCUCCAGUCAAGGAGUUGGCUACUCGCAGCAACCUCCUUCCUCUUGAGCUCUGCAAAAAUGAUCAAGUUCAAACAACCGACUACAGUCGGACAUAUUCGAAGAAUGGAAAGUACUCACCUUGAUAUUUCUUAUUCAAUGACUUAUAGAGGCUCUCCAAUUUUUCUUGCAAAACUUCGUGGUCUAACCACUCAACGGCAAAAGAUUUCGCAGCAUCUUCAUGAACCCUCAAAGAUUCUGUAAGCUCGGCACACUCCCGCUCCAAUUGUUCAUUCUAUUCAUGAAGGGCCCGAGCAUUCCUCUGAGUCUUGUCAUAUAGAUCCUGCAAGGAAAAGCAAAUGGAUAAGUCUCUUAGCAACAAACAGACAGACAAGAGAAAUAACACACCUGAAAGCUUUGCAUAGCUCUCAUAAACUCCAACUCUGACGGAAGCCCGAGUAUUGGACCUUGAGCACUCUUCACAACAUGAGGAGUCGUACCCAAGGCUGUACCUAAAAGCGACGAACAUUAGUCAACACAAUACUACGACUACAACACCAGUAUCCCGAGUACAUACCCGGUGCAGUCGCCUCUUUGGCCUUUGCCACAUCAACCAACGCCAAAACUUCUCCAGUAGACGUCGACGGGGUCCACCUCCAGAACCUAAAGCAACUGAAGGAUCCUCCACCAAGCAGAUCACUUCCUGAAGCAUGGACAUAGUGGCACCAAGAUGACUAGCAUCAACUCCGGAUACAUCAUCAACAGACAGAUCGUCCAAGAGAGCAGAAAAAGUUGUCGGGGGACAAGACUCUACUCCUGCCUCUACAGGGAUAGUCUCCUCCACAUCCCUACAUCAAAAUACAAAGUCACCACACGACUUCCAGAAAGUUUGAAGAUACACACCAAGAAUAAAAAACUCACCGAGUUGAUCGUGGCAGCAAUCACACACGUUUUUUCUCAGCAAUAGGCAUCCGAGUACUCGGCACCGCAGGAGCAGCGGAAGGUGCAGUCUUUUUGCUAAGUCCUGCAAAAAACAGGGUCACGACUACAAUAAACUCAGACUAACAAAAAUAGUCGGGGGGAAAGCUCACCACUAGCGAUCACAUUGGAUAACAAAGAGCCAGUAGCAACUACUGGCGAUACUCCCUUCGCAACAUCCACCACUCCAGCAGGCAAACCCAGAACUGCCUGGUCAGGGACCGGUAGCGCGGUAGCCAAAGAAGUCUAGACUGUUAGCUCAGGGGCUGCUCCAGCAUCCGCUGGCGGCACCUCCCCUGGCACCUCUUUUACAGACGCAACAUCAACAUCAUCGGCGGUUGCGGCCACCUCAUCAGAAGUUGCUUCAUCAUCACCAAGGGUCGCGUCAACAACCUUUUCAGAUAAAUAAAGUGAUCAAGAGGGUACAGGAAAAAAUCUACCAGUUACCAAUAAAUACACGACUACAUACCUUGGUACCCUGAGACUUCUCAGGAGUCGAAGUCGAGGCAGACUUAGCAGCAGACUUCUUGUGGACUACUCGGCGUUUCUUCACAGGAGGAGAAGGCUCGUCCUCUGACUCUUCAACAACCGACUCUUCCUCGGAGUACGCCAGAUAGCCAGCAAGAACCCGAGACUACAAAAAGAAAAAUUAUUGUUACUCAAACAACCUCCCAAAAAGCUCAAAAGGUACAAGUCAAGUAAAAGACCAUACCUCUUGUGGCUGAUACCAGGCAUCAAACUGGCGAAAAGCUGAAGGAACAACUAGUACUCCUUGAUAGUUCCUGAAGAACUUGGCCAGCAGCGCCUCCACAUCAUCGUCAGAAAUGUCAUCAGGAGACAUACGUGACAAGUCAUUAAAACCUGAGUACUGCCCACCCGGGUGAGCCCGCUUCUGCAAAGGCUGCACUCUCCUCUUCAGAAAUCUGGCCGCCACAUUAAUUCCAGUCAAACCUAGGGCCUUCAACUUGGCAAUCUGGGUCAGCAAGCUGUCGAUCUCAGGAGAAUCUUCAGGUUCGCUGACCCAGUUCUCUGCAUGCUUCAGGGCGUGACAUGUGACUACCGGCAAGCGAGGCUCAUGGUUUCCAAUGUAGAACCACUUCCUUUUCCACUCCCCAUGGGAAUCAGUCAAAUUAUAAUCAAGAUAGGCGCCCGAGUUCCUAAGUUGGAACCCUGCACCUCCAAAAACCUCUGUCCUAAUGGCACUAGGCUGAGGCUUGCAACGAAACAAUUUCCUAAAUAGCUCAAGGCUAGGAGGAAUGCCCAAGUAAACUUCACACAAGUGUACAAAAAUGGACAUAUGCAACACAACAUUGGGAUUCAAGUGAACGAGCUGAAGCUUGUAGUACUCGAGGAUACCUCUGAAGAAGUUGGAGGUAGGCACUGCCAGUCCCCUCUCCACAAAGUGUGCAAGCAUGACUGGCUCAUUCGGAUGCUUCUCGAACUGACACGCGUUAGCAAAGGCAGGCCUCCACUCGAGUACCUCCUUUGGCUGCAGAAACUUGGCGUCGACAAGCGCCUGAACGACCGCCUCCUUCAUCAUGGAGUUCUGCCACGUCACUCCAGGCGGUGGCGGCGCAGUCUGGUUCUUUGGACCCACCUUCGGCACCGGCAACACCAACUCCUUCCUUUUCUUUGAUUUCACCUUACCCGCCGCCGGAGCUUUUGCCUGAGACUUUUCGGGUUUCUUCCCCAUCUUCUUGGUGCGCAUCCGCUGACUUCAGCCGCAGCAAGGAAAAAUGCGGUCAACCUCAGAUCUAUCUCAAAGAGCAAUAGCAAUGGCGGCGGUGGUGCUGGAAGAUCGUGAUGGUGCAAAAGAGGAACAGAACAACGGGGCGAAGAAGAAAAAUAGAUCUGCUCCAAUGAAACGUAACCCUAACCGAAAGGGGGCCCUCCAAUUCUAUCUCCCCCGCCUCUGGAUUCCAAGCGUCAGUUACGCAACGGAUAGGUUUAAAACAGAUUUAUUGCCAUAACACCCAACGGCUACUCCUACCAACGGGUUUUGACCACUUCAUCGACAAAAAUCGCCUAAGUGCUUGGGGGUUGCGGGUACCGUACCCGAUGGUCAGAAUUUGCUUUUUCAGAUUACCAGAGUAAAAUAGCCAAGAAGCAGGAUUGACCCUAAGCCUGACUCUUCGACUCAACCUAAGGCUCAGGGAUACUCCAUAUGGAGUGCGAUUGUCAUCGCACUACCACAUAAAAUUCUUGGAAUAGAAGCAACUCAAAGGAGCAAGAAGAGUACCUUUCAUCCACGCGACAAUACUCGCGCACUUUGGACACUACAACCUCUACGAAGAACUACUCGGAUGGUGCCCACAGUACUCAUGGCUGUGGCGCACGACUACAAAGUACUCGGGGGCUUGUCGGGCAUACACCCCAGGCCCACGAGUAGGCCCUGAACGGCCCACCAAGGGACCUACUCGGACAUGGUCAAGACCAGAGGGCUACGCAGCAAUAGGCGUAUCCUACUCAGACUAGUUAAGUAUGUGUAUGGAAACUACUCGGGUCAUACCGAGUAGGACUCUGUAAUUGUACUCGACUAGGAUUCAGACUUGUAACCCUACCCUCCCGUGUAUAUAAGGGCGGGCAGGGACCCCCCCUCAAGAACAACUCCAAUUCAUCUAAGAUCAAUACAACCAAACACACAGGACGUAGGGUAUUAUGCGAUCUAGUGGUCCCAACCUGUCUAAAUCGUGUUCCUUGCAUCACCAUCGACUCCUUGAUUCUCGACGUCCCUUACCGCACAAAAGACCACCUAGGGUACCCCCUAGGCGGGUUGCCGGUCUAAAACACCGAUACCCUUCAACACGUCAACAUAUUGAUCUGUUGAGAUAUACUCUAGUUGGUCAUCCACCCAUCCCUCUUGACCAUUUUGGCCUCUAAUUAUAUUGUGAAAUGCAACUGCUGCAGUUGCAAUCUUGAUUUGAUUUUCUAUGGGAUGGAAAGUGCCUACUUUCAUAAUCGGGAACCUCUUCUUUAGAACACCAAUGGCCCUCUCUAUAUAGUUCCGAAGUAAUGCAUGACAAUGGUUGAACAGUUCUUUGUAGUUUGCAUAACCACUUUGAGACGAACGACGCCUUCUAAGCUCCCUAAGAUGGUACCAAACUCCUCGAUAUGUGGCAAUAAAGGCGUUAUAUUUGUGUACCCACCAUCUACAAGAUAGAAAUUUUCCUCUGGCACACUAAAUCCUUUGAUAACAGUAGAUCUAAGGACUCCUGCAUCUGAUGCUGAUCCUUCCCAUCCACAUGAAAUGAAUGUGAAGUUAAGGUUGAAGUUACAGGCUAACAUAACAUUCUAUGAUAGGGUUUCUUUCCUAUUUCUGUAGGGAGGGGUCGUGUCUUCUGCAACGAUGAUUGGUAUAUGAGUGCCAUCGAUUGCACCAAUUCAAUUCUGCACAAAAGGAAAGAAAUUAAGGACUUGGCACGCAAGGAAAGAAAAGAUUGGAGAAAGGAUUAUGUCUAGUAGUGUUAAUGCCCCACCUGAAAGAAAACAAGGAUCUGUCGCGAUUCCGAUAUGAGUUUGGACAAAACUUGGAAGUCUCACAAAUCGAUGAGUUCAAGCAAGAAUUAUUUCGAAAACUUCUGUUAUUUUCCAAUGGAUCGUCUCGCCGCUGUGUUGAAAAGGUUUCUGUAGCCUUUGGUUGCUAGCAUUGUGUAAGAGCAUGAACAUGAACAUCCCAAGCUGCUCCUCAAUAGCAACACCUCGUGUGUCACGGAGCAAAUUAUCCCUUCUAAGAAAGUCCGCUAUGAUUUUAAAUAUUUCAGGCUCCAUUCGGAACUUAACUUUACACCAACUCGGGUACCCUUCAAGGAUUUCCUUAACCUUUUUGGCACCAGGAAGAGAAGAUGUGUGCACAGGCAUUUUCUCUUCUUGUAAGUAUAGAAUUAUGACAUGAACAAAUACAAGAAAUAGCUCAUCAUCCUCUUCCUCCUCCUCCAACAAGAACUGCCUAACUUGCUCCUCCCAAUAUCCCAUUAUCUAGUGUAUGUAUAUAUAAAUCAUAUUCUUAAUUAGCACAAUGAAUUAAUCAUUUCAGUAAACAUGAUGGAAAAACUUUGAUACUUAGCACAAAAUUGACAUGACACAGGCUAAGACAUAUAUAGUACUACAGACUAAGACAUAAAUGAGCACGUAGGUCCGGAUAAUCAGCAGGUAUUAACAGGCACGAAAUUGAUUGGCCUUUUAUUCAACUGAAUCUAGUGCAGGCAGACAUGCAUUACUCAAGAAAUAUUGUAUACAGUUCUGAACGAAGUACCACAGGGUAGAAAGAACAUGUCCGCAUGCCUCACUACACAUCCAUGCUACUGUUCUUUGAUGUUCUACUAUGAUGAACAAGCACCAGUAGCAUCAGCUAGACAAAAAAAAAUGAAGAGAAACACAGGAGUAGCAAGCACACCUGGGGAUCUUGAUGACCUGACGUUGAAGUGGUACACAGUCGAACAAGAUCCUAAGUCUGGAGCGGGAGAUCAACCUGGGAAAGGAGCACGUUGCGCCCACACCAGGAUUAGCAGCCUCAAAUCGUCAUCAGUUCGUGGCCGCAACUAUUCUUCACGAGAUCUACAAGAAAUGUGAGGGGAGAAGAGGAGAAACCCUGACGGGUCAGCAAGAUAUAGGCCCUGUUUGUAUACGCUUUUCUGGAACUCGCUUAUCUGACAAGCAAGCUUAUCUGAUAAGCCUGCUGCCUGGAGAAUCUGCUGUCUGAAUAAGCAGGGUGUUUGGCAAUCCUGAUUAUUUUGUGUCGAUUGUCUGUCCAAGUUGGUAAAUUGACCUGAAUGCCCCUAAGACUGAUAAUAGCUCAUUUUUGCUGCUUGCUAUGCUCUAGAUUACACCGUAUGCUAUUCAUCUGGUCAAGAGGCUAUAGCCCCCUUCAGAUUAGCUAGAGUUAACAGAAAGUUGCUAAACUACCCAAACUUGCCAAGUCCAAUUUCAACCAUCCAAACCGAGGCGGCUCUGGCGUCCGGCGGCGGGGGCGGCGCCCAGGCAGUAGGGGCGUCCGGCAGCGGGGCGGCACCCAGGCGGCAGGGGAGUCCGGCGGUGGGGGCGUCCGGCGGCGGGGCGGCGCCUAGGCGGCAGGAGAGUCCGGCGGCGGGGCCGGAUCCCAGGGGGCAGGAGCGUCGAGCGGCGGAGGCGACGCCCAGGCGGCCCGCGGCGGGGGCGUCCGGCGGCGGGGCGGCCCGCGGCGGGGGCCUGGCAGGGGCGGCCGGCGGAGGUAGGGAGGCAGGCCGGGCAACCCGAGUGGCGGCGGCGGGAUCUGCAGCGGCGGCGGUCGCCUGGAGGCGGCGUUGCCCGAGGGUAGCCGGGGGAAAAAUGCUCCGCUUGCCCCAGAAGCGUCUCCAGACCCGCGUAGGAGAUAAGCUGGGUCCUAGUUCAAUUCCAGAUUUUCCACUAAGCGGCUUACGUGACAAGCGGGGAAUAAGCAAGGCAUUUGGGUGGGUUUAUCGCUUAUUUUCACCAAUAAGCGGGAAAUAAGCGACUCCAAAUAGGCCCAUAGGCGGAGGCGGACUCACCUGAUGCGGCGCCGGAGUUGGAGGCGGGUGGUGGCAGCGCAGUCGGCGAUGGAGGAGACGCAGCAGAAGCGAUGGCGGAGGGGAAGAUCUGGUGGUGGCAGCGUUAUUGCUCGCUGCAGACUCGAGGAGGAGAGAACGAGUCGCACGAGACAGGGAAAGUUGCCUGACCUCUGUAGGCCGGGCAUUUUUUCCACGCGGAAACUAGGCUCGAUUGGGCUGGAGUCCCUCGCGUUGCAGGCUUCCAAAUGCGCAAGUUGGAUGCCGCGUGGAAAUUUUCCACAUGGGCUUCCAACGCGGGAAAUGAUCGAGUUUCCUGUGGGGAAGUGGGCUGCCAAAGGAGUCCUGAUUGGGAUAUUUUCAAAAUUCAGAUUUUCACAAAUGACAGUACUAUUUGCUAACAAUGUGGGCCACGGCAAUAAAUUGCAUGGACAACAAGGAGCCAUCGUGACAACCAUUGGAGGACUAAUGAAAAAAAGCUGGUUUGCAUUAAUUAGAUGAUAAGUAGAGUUGUUUUUCUUGGUCAUUGUGUCAAGAUGAAAUAUCCCUAUCAAAAGAGAAUGGAGGGAGUAAUUUGUAAGAUUUGUCUUUUUUUUCUAGAAACCUUGUGAGAGUUAAUGUCAUCCUCAAAGUCCCAUUUUCACCCUUCAAUUAUAGAAGAAGUCUGAUUUUCAACCCACAACUACAAACCCGGACAUGAAGGCACAUCCAGCUGUCAAAAAACCGGGCAAAUUUAACCCUUUGGGUGGUUUCAAGAGUGGUUUUGUAUUUUCUAGAAAUUUUAAAAAAUAGGUUUGACUAAAAAACUUAUAACUAAUUCAUUUCAAAUCAAAAAAAAUAUCCAAUUGGUGCCAAAAAAUUUAUGAAAACAUAAUGAUGUAAACAACUCCAAAUAGAGUACCAACAAAGAGCCUACACUAGGACUAGUAACAAACAUGAAUUAGUUAUGAAUUUUUUAUUAAAUAAAAAAUAAAUUUCUAGGAAAUACAGAAUGACCCUCAAAACCACUCAAAGGGCUAAAUUUUCCUAGUUUUGAUAGUUGGAUGGCCCUCACUCCCUGUCUGAUUUUGUAGUUGUGGGUUUAAAAUCAGAUUUCUGCUAUAGUUGGAGAGUGAAAAUAUAACGUUUCCCUAUUAUUAAUGAAUUAAUAAUAGUAAGGUAUAUCUCAUGAUAUGAGAAACAUCCUCUAUUUCUUAACAGUAAGAUAUCCCAUGAUCUGUAGCCAUUUACAAGCACAAGGGUAAACUAAAACGGCAGAGCUAGCGUCCACUGUCAACACCUAAACUCUUGUUUGCAGCUCAGCCAAAAGCCAACUCGAGCAUGUGCCGUCAAGUAAGACGAACGAACAACCCUUUUCCCUCGCCUGCACGGACGUCCAACAGCUGAGAACGAAGCACCAUACCCUUGGGUCUGUCUCAGUGGCGGAGCCAACCAUGACCCCUAGGGCGCUCUUCUUCUUCCUCCCCCUUCCUCCCUCUUCUUCUUCCUCUUUUCUCCUCAAAAAUGGAAGGGGGAUUUAAGGGAGGCUCCAUUUUUUUUGGGUGGGUAGAGGNNNNNNNNNNNNNNNNNNNNNNNNNNNNNNNNNNNNNNNNNNNNNNNNNNNNNNNNNNNNNNNNNNNNNNNNNNNNNNNNNNNNNNNNNNNNNNNNNNNNAGAGGAUCACAUUGGCCAGUGUGGGGGUCAUAGGGCCCCGUUCGAAUAAGGACGCAGUAAGGGCGUCGGCCAAAAAUAAGAAGCCGCCAUCACUUACGCUGAUUUUUUCCAUUGAGAUAGGGAGAGGUUGGACACUGCCUGAUGUGAGCUUUCUCACGAGACGCUCUUUGAUGUGGCCACCCGUUGGUGCCAUUCCUUCCAUCCUGGCGUUUCAUUCGCCCAGGAUCUUAAAGUACCCACCCAUUCAUCUAAGUUCAUAUCGGAUCGUUUGAAGGGUAUCCGAUCAGUUUCCAAACCUAUAAGAUCAAUCGGAUCUGGGUCUCCCUUAGGACCGAGGCAAAGAAGGCUAGAACUUCUCGUGAGGAGAAUAGUAUUUUUAUCCCCCCCCCCCCCCCCGACCCACCGCUGGUGAUGAGGAUAUUGCCCUCACACACGAGUCAUGGUCUUCUCCAAGUCACAAGUCGUCACCAACUCGGUCGUCGUGUUUAGUUCGGAUUCAGCCGACACCCCUACACAGUUUCAUCCAUAUCUCCCUCAUACGACAUCGAAACGAGGCAUUCUUUGAUGCAUUGGAAAGGGGAUGACGCCGCCGUUCUUUUGGUUCUGGUCCUAUCUCCAGAAGGUUCAUGGAUCAUUCUGUGUGACCAUGAUAAGGUGUUGCGUCACCUAUUUGGGGCAACUUGGCCUUGUACCGUGUCGGGCCUUAAGCCCAUGUUGUGGGCGCCUCCUCCCUAGUCUCCCCCAACCAUAGGAUGCCCCUUUGGGUAUGGUAUAAAACUCAGUAGCCACCACCUUUAGAACUUGGGUUUUGUUUAGUUCUAGUUUUCCAUCGAGAAAUUGAGAUUGAUUCAUUGUCACUGUGGUGACAAAUCCAUUUACAGUGAUCCAGGACCCCUGUUCUUAUUCUCCUCGCCUGUGACGAUUAGUCCGUUUGAAUCGAGAGCUUGAACCCCAUAUUGAUCUUUGCUUCAUCCAUAUUUGCAAUUUCAGAUUGCAUGUUUACCGUUAUCUUGCUUGUGUUCUUCGAUUCGCUUGCAGGGAAAGUCUUUUCAGCGAGGUCAAUCAAGUUGUGCUUGGUUGAUAACCAACGGAGUAGUGGUGUAGCUAUUUUAGGGUUCGAAUCGUGUUUGAUUUGAAGCUGGAUCGUCAACGUCGAGUCUCCACCAAAUCGAGUGUAUCUAUACCUAUCGGAAGAUCGGGCCAGUGCUACAUCAGCUGGCUUCGCCACUGGUCUGUCUGGACAUUUGUGCAAUCACGCGUCCUGCCCGUGACAUUCCGCGUUGUUGCAGCUCGUGCCGGAAGACACUUGAAGGGUUUGUGAACAAGACACUGUUGGAUUUAGGCCCAUGUGUGGCCCAAUCUGAAAAAUUCCAAAGCAUGCACAACCUUUAGUCCCAUAUUGUUGAUUCAAGGAAAGAUUGCUUUGCUUAAAUAUGGGAGUUUUCUCUCUAUGCAAAAUAGGUGUGUAUGAGAGAGAAGGAGACUGUUGCUACACGCACACGUAACUCGCGCGUAUUUUCACAUGAAAAAUCGCGUGACUUGUGAUUUGUGACUUGUGACGAGCGUGACGCGUAUGUGUAUAUCAGGCUAUUAUUUGUGCGGUUUCUAUUUUUUUAUGCUGAGCCUAGCUUCAAUGUGAUUGAAACUGUCGUUUUAAAUAGCAAUAAGAUGCGUCAAUUUCUGCUAUUUGAUUGCAGCAGUUUCUGUCAUUCAAAUGGGCAGUUUCUACUGCUUGAUGAGGGGAAUUUCAUGCGCUAUGAGGCCUAUAACACCAGAAGACGUCCUGGUUGUAAGGCACGAUGUCACACGCUCGCCUCCCCACUUGCGCACUCCAUUUGUGUAGAACCUCUUGUUGUUAUGCCUCGUCGACCUUUGAAUUCUGCGUGCACAAGAUUCGAAGGAAAGCAGGAUUUCCGAAACCACUACCGCGAGACUCCUGCACGGGGCGGCAAUUUGGAUUUUGGCAGCGCCUACACGCAACUGCUUGGUGAUUCUGCAACAUCUACUUCAACACGUUCGACUUCGUUCUGCGCGGGGAUCAUUGAGUAAUUUUUUUGUACAAUCCUGUUCUAGUCAGUAUGUUAUCUGUUUACAUGUGUUAUAUGCUUGCAUCAUUAUUUAUCUAUAUGUUUUUCCUCCAAAUAAAAUUUGGACAGUAAUUUAGGCACAUAUUUUCAACAGAUACAUUUUUUUUUCAAUUUCUCAUAUCGGACAAGUUGAGUUCGAGGAAGAACUGGCCCUGCAAUCCGGACCGUGUGUUGCGCAAUCAAGCCCACAAAACAGCGGUGCAUCUCGUUCUUCAGUGUAUUUUUCCGGUUGACAGUGUACAGCUCGGCUCGUUAUGGAUCGUUAAGGCUCGGCUCGUUUGAUAAUGAGCUGGCUCGGCUCUGCUCGUUAAGGUUGACAGCUAAAAAGUUGAGUUUGGCUUGGUUCAUUAGGAAAAUUCAAGCUGGCUUAUUUGGCUCACGCGCCAAGCAUUAUUCAAACUUAAGAUUUAAAUUAUUCAAUAUUUAUCUUAAUUUCUUUGUUUGUCUCUUUUCCCCUGUACUAUCUUUUCUUAUAUAAUAUAUAACUAGUAGGGAUUCAAAUCCCUCCUGUUUCAUAAAAAUUAAAAAUGAUAUUAACCAGUGUGUGACAAUUUAAAUGUGCUAAUAAUACGUAAAAAGUUUAACUCAGGAUGAUAUUAUGAAAAUAAAUUACAUUAGUCAAGAAAUUGGGAUAAUAUAGAUGUUUGGAGACUUAAAAUAAACUUAAUUAGCACUGUUUGAUUUAAAAAUUGAAUGAGAAGUUUAUUUUACCCAAAUAAUAGUAAUACAACUGUAUUGAUAAGAAAAGGUUUGGUGUUGUCAUCUUUCUUAAGCCUAACGAGCCAAUCCAACAGCCUUCAAGUGGUUCACGAGCUGGCUUGUUAAAAAAAUAAGCUGAAAUUGAGACUUAUCUCGAUUCAUUUAAAUGUCGAGCCGAGCUGAACGGAGCCGAAACUAUGAACAAGCCAAGUCAGCCACAAACAUUGAGCUUUUGUAUCAGCCCUAAUCAUAAGAGCAGAAGGUCGUGGAUGGGUGGCAGAGAGCGCUGCCAAAUUGCCAAAAAAACAAGAUGAGUCAAAACAGCCAUCCUUAUGUACACAGUUUGGAACAUUUGAAAAGAAAGAAAUUGGUGCAUUUUCCAUGAUCGACGGAUGAAUGCAGUUCAGGUGGAGCAAGAGAUUAAGGCAGAGAUAAAAACUUCCCAAGACGGCAUGCGGAGGUCCUGAGCUACCAUGGUUACUAUGUUAUAUGAUUAUUUGUAUAUAUAAGGUUGUGAGAUUAUCCCUUUAUGUAAUAACGCUUAUGUAAGAUUUUGUAUGCUCCUUCUUAAAUGACAUAGCAGUGCUUCUGCAAGCUUUUAAAAUAAAUUACAACAGCUUGUUAACAGUAGCACUCGGAAUUUGUUGAGCAACAUACGUAAAUUAAGCCACUUGCUCAUGGGCCAAUGUGCUCUGCAAAAUCUGCGAGCAAAUGGAGCAACUGUGGCACAACAGGGUAUCUCCUGCUUCCGGUAAAAUGUCAAUUGUUGCUGACACCAUACAGGCAAUGGAAGACCAAGUGCAGGCACAGAUAGGCAAAGAUAGUGCAGGCAUUCAUUCUUUUUAUUUCCAAUCUGAGAUGUGUUUGUACAAUCACGUUCGCGCCUUCGCCCAGUGUAUCUCGGCGGAGCAAAGCGAAUUUGAAUUUGGACAUGGGUCCAUGGCCAUAAUGUUCUUAUCAAGGUUUCAGAAUCAUACUAGACAAAGUAAUUGCUUCAAAAUACCUAUCUAAAAACUUCAGGUCUAGCAGCAGCAUUAACACCUGAUUAAACAUCUGACCGGAAACGGAACCAUUAGAGGCACUAUAUAAAACUAGCAACAUAGCGAAUUAAGAAGGCGCAACUCUGAUCCACAUUUGUGGUAAAUGCAACUACAAAACUGAGCAUGGGACUUUUGUCAUCCAACCAUAGUAAGUUGAGAAUUCUAUCAGGAGGGAAGAUGGUAGCCUAUCCUUUUUGGGACGAUGGCACGCUUUGUUUUGUAUGUGUGGCACUAUGACCAGGGGAGAUUUCCUCAUGAUUUUUUAUAAAUUUUGAGUGGGAUUAGAACUUGAUUUGAAAUCCUAAAAGAUAGAAGAAUCCACAAAAGUUUUUUUUCCCAAAUAAAUGAAUGUCUUUUGAAAGUAUAUGGACCUAGAAGAGAGGGUGGGACAAGUUUAAGUACCGUUAUGUGAAUUUUGAGAGUACCAGGAUCGGGACGAGAACUCUAGACAAGUUUGAGAAUCGAGAUGAUAGCUCGGGACAAGUUUAACGACUUCUGUAGUCUAUGUGCACUUUGAAAAUACCAUGACCGGAAUGAAAACUCAGGACAAGUUGGCCGCCGGUGAAAUUUACUCUAAAACAAAACAUCACUGUUCUUUUUUCCUAUAGAACAAUGGGUGCACACUCGCACUUCUGACGUGCAAUAGAUCACAACUACAAUCAUUCACCAGAUUAGAAGUAACGGCCAAACAGAAAUAUACAGAAAGAGCUAGUUGCAGCAAAGUUUCAACUAUCAAUAUAAGAUGUGUGUACAAAAUAUAGGUACCCCUUGCCCUUUUUUUCUUUUUGUUAAUUAUGUACAGUAUCCCUGAAAAAGAGAGACAACUAGACUUCAUGAGCUUAUAGCCACGAAUGCUCUCAAUAGGCCUGGCGUGUAUAGCGAUGUAUUCACAGUUAAGAGAAUUUACCACACAUGGCACCAUAUGGAGUACACAUAGCUUUACCUAUUACCACCAUAGCACCCACAAGAGACAUCAUCAUGAAUUCUUGAUGUCUGAUGAAAGAACACUGUACCUAUCCACAUGAUCUUCCCUCGACCUGCAAUGUGCCAGGAGUUGGCUCUCAUCCACCUCCCCCGUGAUUGAUAACUGAACACCAUACUCCGAUAAUCUCUUGACAUCCCUCGGAUUGGGGCUUUGCCAUGUACCGUCCCACCACGUAGGCGGUAGGAGCGGGGUCACAGCGCAUUGGUGCGGCUGGUGCCCGCAGCUCAAAGGCCCGGCAUAUGUGUCCCAGAUAUGGCUCCGGCCAACCUGCGUCGAGAGCCCAUGGACCAGCAGGCUACUGUGUAUGCUGCUUAAGAACGUGAAGUUUGCACCUGAAGGCUUCAGGUCUGGUAUAAAAGAUGAAAAUAGAAAAUUGCAGGCUAUGUUAGGGGGAUCUAGCAUCCGGGAAAAUUCCCAGGCAUGGAAAAUUUCAAGAGGUAGAAACACAAGAACAUGUACCAUAUGUGUUAGCUGCAGCCAAUGCUGCAAUAAGUUGUGCAUAGGUUGUCCCCACACGAGGAUGUGCUCCAGUGAUAACUGCGUAUCUGGCACGUGAUGCUAGAAAGAAAUCAACAAUGGCUGCCCACCUUGGAGCUGGCCCCCAGUCUCUUAAACGAAAAUCCAGAGGCUGCAAAUAAAAAGGGUGCAGUUUAAGGUGACAAAGAUGCGCUUCUGUGGACAUGCCAAUUAAAAAGAUACAUAACUCUUCAUAGAAAAAUACUUUAAAUAAAAUUAACGUACAGGCUGAGUUAACUUCACAUGUAAGUGGAAGAAUGGCAUAAUGGGAUCAGAAAACAUAUGCCAUGAAGAUAUCAGAGUGAAAAUAAGCAUAGCACAAACGAGAUCAGCUACCAAAAUCAGUUCAGAAGGGAAUUUGUGCAAUAUGACAAGAAAUAUACUUGAAGUUCAACUGGGAUUGAUCGCUUCAGAAUAAGGAGAAUAAUAUUCUAACACUCUGGAAAAUUCCAGUGAGCAAGUAUCAGAAUUUGCUAGAGAAUGCCAUAAUGAUAAUCCAGGCAUGAGUGUGUGGCGUACCGUAUCAUUUCCAAACAUCCAGUUUGACUUGUUGACAAACAACUCAUAAUCAAAAUAAAUUACCUGCUCAACAAAUAAAAGGAUAAACAUUCAAUCUUCAAUUUUUAGAAAAUUCGACAUCAAUUGAUAAGACAUCUAAUAAUCCUUGGCAUCCACAAUACUUAGAGAAAUCCAAAAUUUAUCCUCUAAACAUUCACCAAAGUGGCUAACCUCAGCAAACUCGCUGAUGUCUGACUUUAUAUCCUGGACAAAUGAUGGUGUGUCUGAUACCAAUGCCACCCGAGGAGUACCCUGAAUAUGGCAGAUCUGUAUGGCUCUCUUUAUACAACUUGCUGCAGCUUGUCUUGCUUCCACUGGCCUGAAUUCACAAUAGUAGUUAUUCUCAACUGUUCAAAUUGUAGAACAUUUGUAUCGGACAGGCCUGCAAACUCUCAAGAUAAAAGUUAAGGUGCAAACAAGUUCAGUCAACACCACUUGUGAUAACAUAACUAAUCCUAGAACAUUUCAAACUAUCUUCUCCGGUCCAUAUAUAGAACAUUCCAUGAUAGUGUGUCACUUGGUAGCAUCCCCAAUGGAGAGGAUCAAAUAUUGAGAUCAAGGGUUUAUGCACUAGGAAAAUAAAGAAAAUGUGUGGCCAUCCUAGGUUCAGUCAACAAUUUAACAUAAAUCUUUUCUCAAUGCCUACUGAAGUACCAGAUGUGUUGGCAAGUAAAUUGUCAUAAUUCACAUGUUAUUGCAUUGCUCUUCUUGUCAAGUGAAUACGGACAAUUUACCAGUAACCUUCAACUUGUUUAAGCAUAUACUAUAAAGUGUUCUAUACCUACUGGACAUCAUGCGCAUGUGCAAAGCAAUAUCUGGAUCGACACCUUUCAAAGCCCAGUUAACUGCUUCCUGGACUGUCCUGGAGGGAGAUACUAUAGCUCGCAAAAGUUCCCCAAAUGUAUUAGGCCUGGCAUGUAAUGAAUCUGGCGAUCCAAAAAGAGCUGAUGCGGCAGCCUUCAUCCCAGGAUGAACAUUCUUCAGAAAAAACUGGGUGCCCACUGAAUCUGUCGUGCCACUAAACCUAAAUUGUGAGAGUCAUAUGAUAUCAGCAUGCUUGUAUUUCAUAAUCAUAUUUUGAAAAAAAAAUGCUGGAUAUGAGAAAGAAAAGCAAUCCCACCUAGCAUAACAUAAAUCAACAUUCAACUGAACACUGAACACGAAAUAUCCAGUAAGUAUCUUUGGGCUUUAGUGUUCGUACCAUAAGCAAAAAAUUCAAAUACUAGAUUUUUGGAAAUUCAGAGUAAUACCCGAUAGAGCAAAAGAGUAGCAGCAUCUUUCGUUAAGUCAUAUGUUCAGGGUAAAUGAAAAGUUUUCUUUUUUCCAAGAAUAAGAAACAAGACCGAAGUAAAAUUUCCAAUAAACAAAAUCUUUCGUCAAUGCAACCAAUUGCCAAAUUGCAGAGUAUCGAGUUUAGAAAUGGAUAAAAGUAAGAACAAAGAAGAUUAAACAGCUCGGUAAGCAGCUUUAUUUGUCUGAGAACUGUCAUUUGAAGUUCUGAUAAUUCCAUGAAUCUCCAUUUCCACAUUUCAAUAAUAUGACUCCUUCUAGGAAACAAAUUUUACAAAUUUCAUAUGCUUUGGUACACAAAAAAUAUAUUUAAAUAGACUUGCCUAGAAACAAGGUGAGACCUAAAUUAGCCUCCAUUUACUGACUGCAUGUACAUUGCUCACUGCUAAGCUCAGGCAGCAUUGUUAAUCAUAGAUCUACAAAAUUCCAAGGAAAAAUCAUAUCUCAAAUAAAGAAUUAAAUGUUGGUUUAGUAUAUGUCCAAAUAGGAAAAAUACAUAAAACGCAUCCAGAAACUGCCAGUAAAUAAAGGAAAUGUAAAAACAUAUGACUAUCUGUUUGUUGAAAGUGUAGUACCUACCGGAUAAUAGGGUCUUUCCAGCUAUUCCAGUCACUGCAUAGAACAUUUGUCUCUGAUGGAUGUUCAAAAUUGUCGACUCUCAUACUCAGAUCUCUACCAUAUUUUGUAGCACAGCAAUGUUUUCUCCAUAAAUGCUUGAUUUCUUCAAGAGUAAACAAAUGGUUUGCAUAAGAAACAUACUGUCCAAAAGGAUAUAGUCCCCUGUGAAUGGAACAGAAAAAAGUCGAAGGAUAUUGAUAAUCAGAUAAUCAGUCACCGCUUUCUAGAUUACACAUUGCAUUUAAUCAUGGCCCUAAAGACAUUACAGGUUAAAAAUUUUACAUAGAACAAAUUUGAAGUAAAUUAUUAAGAACUACAAGCAUAAUCUUGAUAUUAACUUCAGCUUAUUAUGGUUUCAUAAUCAAUGCAAACUCUGUAAUGACACUUAACAAUUAUAACAGGAAAAUAGUAGUAAUGCAUUUUCAUAGAACUAGGUGCUUUUAACCUGUUCGACUAAGUAUCUAAUAUCUAGUCAAACAAAAGGUAGAUGAAAAGUAGCAGAGUAUAAGCGCACAUGCAUGCCUGGUUUGCUCAAUUAUCAGAGAUCGGUUGAACAUGACACUCAGCGCUGCUGCUGUUAGGAUCCUGUACAUUUCAUUGCCAAAGCCAGCUUCAGAUGCUUUCCCCAGCACAAAUCCUUGUUUGCAGAACUCAUGUGGAGGAAGUGUCCGCACUCUUGCAGCUCCUGCCAAUUUAAUUGAAGACAUGAACAUCAGGGAUUGGACUCCAGAACCUGACAAGGAAUUGCAAGUUGCAAAAUGGAUAGGGGGAAAAAAUGACUGGCUAGCUAUACGCUUUGGUUAUAUCAUAGUAGACUCAUGGUUAAAGCAACAUUUCCUAGCUUCAAAGGGGGCAAAAAAAAGUUUGGACUAACAAUUAAUGUUUUAAUUAUUAUCUAAAGGAUCAGAGCGAAUCAUUUGAUGGAAGGACAGUCAAAUUAACAAUUGGCUGGGAUCGACCGGAUCCGAAGAUCAAACAUGCUCUUGAUCUUUUUUUUUUGCCAAGAUCAAAUAUGUAGAAUAUAGGAUUAGCACUGUAUCUGUUACUACUUUACUAAUACAAGGAACAGUUUCACUUAAAAACAAAACAUGGAUUAGGAAAUCGAAGAAAUUGGGAGUGGGAGGUACCCUGCGGCGCAUUGUGGCCAAAUCUUACGCGCGCGCUGUGGUAGCCGUGGAAGCCCGGGCAGAUCUAGACGUGGGCAGGCUCCAGCCCCAGCGGCCAGCUCUAAAUCUCGGAGUGAAUGGUGGGCGGCGAGUGGCGGCAACGCUCAUAGCCACCACUUCGAGCCUGGAGUGCAGGAGCCAGGAGGAGGAGGCGGUGGAGAGGCAGCCAUGGCGGCGAGAGACGGAGAGAGGGACAGAAGAUGAGGAAGAAGACGGAAAGGACGAGUGACAGGGGACUGACUGGUGGGACCAUGGACCGCAAAGGGUUGCAGUGGCAACUUACCAUUUCCCAAAUCCCAAUAAAUCCUGAAUCUCACACUACUUGAAUAAUUCCAAAAAUUUGUUGGAUUAAAGAUUUGACAAUAUACCACAGUCAAAUUUACCAAUUUAUAGUAUCUCCAACUGGUCUCUCAAAUUUGAACCCUAAUUCAUCCUACGAGGAUUUCUCGUCCACAUUACAACCUCCUAUUUUUCUGUGCACUCCAACCGAUCUCGCGCAUGCAUCCUACCUUGCACCCACCUCUAUCUUCAUUAAUAUCUUGUGACUAACAAAUUUAUGAUUUUAUAUGUAAACAGUAUCGUUUGCAAAUAGUAAAAUAAGCAUAUAUUUUUGCAUUGGAAAAUCAAACCAAAUAUUAAUUAAUUUUGAAAAAAGGGCAAUUGCAAUUUCCCUCACAGCUAAAAUCGAGCACGCGGCAGCAAAAUUCUCUCUUCCUAUCUCUACACGGAGCAGCACACCAAUCUCCAUCUCACAGCAGCAAAAUCAAUCCCUUUCUCUACUCACAUCUCCAUACACGAAGCAGCAGCAACAGUAUAUUCUCUCUGGUCCCGUCGAUCUCUCUAGGCGGGCGGCGCACGCAGGGCCUGGGUGGCGGCUCGGCACUUCGGCUGGGUGGGGACGCGACGGCGCAGGCAGGCAGAUCGAGGCAGCGGGCCUGCCGGCGCCCGUGCCGGGACGCGGGUCGAACGAAGCAGGGAGCACCCUGCAAGCACCGGCCGCGCAAGCAUGCGGAUGGGCGGCGGCGGAUCUAUCCGGUUCGACUCUUUCCCCUCUCUUCUACGACUUCUUGUUCUGUACGGAAACGCCGGCGCGGUGGUCGGAGAGGAGGAGGAGGGCGUGCCAUCUCCAUCGACGCGGCUAGCGCGGACAAGUCUGAGGACGCGCGGGAGAAGCAGCCGUUGCCGCCGCAGACCGGAUGUGAGAGUUGAUGAGGAAGAAAUGAGAGACUCUCAUCCGUUGGGGGCCAGAUGAGAAAUGGAGCAUUCACCUAUUCCAUAAAAAGCAUUUUUUUUUUGCAACCAACAAAACUGUAAGAAUAUUAAAGCUAGUCACGAGCAAAGAAAAUUUCAGCUAUGAGAUUGACAUGUGAGAAGACUACUUGACGCAUCUUUCUGACGCCUUUAAGUUUAUUUUUUCUUGAAUUUUCUUGAAACGUAUGAAACCGAUUGCUAUAUCAUGAUCUACGUGUGUGGGUGGAGAUUGAUAUCCUAUUC
rnacentral:lncRNA from 1 species